rnacentral:lncRNA from 1 species
UCAAACAAUCCUUGUAGACACUCUCGGCAAAUUUACAGCUCUUCAACACGAAGAGAGCAAAAAAUGGAGAAGAAGCGUGAAGGAGUAAUGGAAGCAAUGAGUCGGAUCGUAUCAGAUCCUUUCUACUUCCUCCAUUUCAUGGCCUUCUUCUCUUACCUUCCGAUUCGUAGCUCCGCCGCACCCUACACUUCUCAUCGACUCUUCGACAGAGAAAUCCAAGCAUUUCUAGCGUUCCUUAUGUUUUCCGCUAUCAAGGUUUGAGCUUACUUCGAAUUUGAUUAAAUCGCUUGAGUUCUUCACUCCCUGAUUUAUUGAUUUGUGCAAAAUCGUAUUGUAGAUGGUGAGGGAGGAAACAUGGGAAGCUUUUGUUGCGGAUGGUUUACUCUACGCUAAGGUUAACACUCUCGCCGGUUUCAGAUUCCGAAUCAAAAUUGAAUUGUUAGUCAACUUUAAGAUUCAUGUGAAAUCUGCUGAUACACAUUUAUUUACUCGCCCCAGAUCUUUCUCAUAGCUGUUUCGUUGAUUAUGGAUUACCGAGUGGCGAUCUGGUUCUCUGUCAUAUUUUCAGGUGAGCUCAAUUCCUAUCUCUUUGAUUAAAUAUGUGAUAUUGUAUAGGAAAUGCAGAUUUCAGUGUUGAUUGAUCUUAAACCAUUGAUUGAGUCUUUCUAUGUUUGAUUUGAAUGUUUCCUUUUGCAGUUAUAUAUCUUUUAGCUCAACAGCCAGCAUUUAGUAAAUUAGGUAUGGGAUGAUUCUUCAAGUUCUUGCUUUUAUGUGGAUUUGCUGAAUCAAAAGUUGUAUUCUUUGUAAAUUGCGUAAACGUUUGCAGGAACUGCGAAGAAGCUAACACCUAUGCAGUUGGAGGAUUUGCUGUCUGAUGGGAGCACAACGAAAUACUGGUUGGUACGUGGGAACUACUGGCUUUAUCUUUUAGAUGAUACAUUUGAAAAAACCAAGGAGAAGACUUUGGGUAAUGAAAUGAUUUAGUUGCAGAGAGCAUAGCUUACACUCGGAACCCAACAAAGCAUGAUGUCUAUGAAGCUAGAUAAUACCUGUAGCCUCCCCUUACUAUUAUGUCAUCAAAGUUUGUCUUUCUUUUGUUUAGCUGUCAAUCAUUUAAGAAACAGAACUGAUAUGCAACAAUUAGUAAAACAAUGUCGGAAAUUGAACUUUCAUCUGCAAAAGGUUAUUAUUGAAGGCUUGUAGCUACUUUUAUGAUGAUGUGCCUUUCUUAUCUUUUGCAGAUAGAAUUCUUUGCAUGUAGUUCUUCUAAGUGUGUUCGUUCAAGCCGAUGCUUUCCCGAACUCUCUAUCACGUAAGCUUUGUGUAUGAAUUAAGAAAGACCCCAAUUUCACUGUUAGUCUUAAGACACACUCACUCACUCUUCUUCCAUUUCUUCAGGUACUCGAAUAAUCUUUUGUCUUUCGGAACUGUUGAUUUUGGACUUUUCCCUAAUACUGCUGCUAAGUUCGGAAUAUCUCUUGCCGGUAAUAAUUCUUCACUAACUCAUUAAUUUGUCCAAUCUCAAAAACACAUCGAGUCUCUGUUGUGGAAGCAACUGAUCAUAUUGUGUAUCAUAUAUAGGUGGAAUGUCUCAGCUUCCAACAUAUAUAUUGUUCGAAAAGGGUGUUGAAGUUUCUCGGUUCCCAGACUUUUAUGUCGAUGCUGCACCUUCUUUACCCAUAACCAAGGUUUACAUGCUUUGACAAAAUUGGCAAGAAAUCAGUUUUUUAAUGGCUGCAUUAAUUCUCUUAAGGCUAUACGGCUGUAAAUGGAAUUUAUAAAAGUUGUGUUUAUGUGUGGAGGUGGACUGAUUGGACCAAUAUAUUUCUAUAUUUUAUUUGUGGCGGAGAAAACGAAUAACGGAUAUACAACUUUCUGGCCUUCGCUUGCAAGAGCAGUAUGAAGAAAUCAACACAACCAUCAAGUUUAUGGAUUCGUUUGUUUGUUCUUCUAUAAUGGGCAUUUUUAGUGAGGCUCUUCAGAGAAAACGACAGUAUUAUAUUCUAGUGCUAUAGAGAGAUAGAAAGAUUCUGUUGAAAUCUUACGGGGUUUGAACUUCAGCGAAGAAUUCUUGAAUACCUUGGUAAUGGAAAUAUCACUUUCUGACUUCUCUUUAGUUCCAUUCGUUGUCAUGAAUUUUGAGGCUCAUUUGCACUCGUACGUCUCUUAUUGUGUUGUUUUCAUGUGGUAUAUACCACAACCCAUUUAUAAUCCUUUGUCCUAUGUGUGGACUAGAAAAUUACCAGUAAAUAAGUUGGAUCGUGCGUGCGGGCGGCUACUAUUCCAAGUAUCAUAUCUUUACCCUGCCAAUUAUAUUUUUGCAAACAUUCCAAAACUAAUAUGUAGUGAAAGCAACAAGUAAUAAAGUAUGGGGAGCCCAAUAAGUAAGUAUGUUGAUAUACAAAAGAAAGCAUCGUUAUCUUUAAAAGACGUGUGAUUACGAUUUAAGAGUUGAAUGAACAAGAAACUGAAUGGUAAAGAUGAUGCCUAGUGGCAACGUCUGCUCGUCAUGUUCCAGAAUCCUAAUUUAGCCAUUAAAUAAUUUGAUUUGAUCUCUUGACUCGGCUUUUGCAUCUCACUUUCUCGUGUCUAUCGUUGUGUUUACAUCAUAAAUCAUACUGUACUUUAAUCUAACUAAUAACUAUAAUAUAUAUAAAUCCAACUAAUAUCAGGAAUACUAUUCAAUGUAUAAGGAAAUAAAAAUGUACCAAAAUAAAUAAUAAUAAUAAUCAGUUUCUCAAAACGCGGUCAAUAAAUUAAAAUCAUUUAAUAUCGUAUAACUCGUAACGGACCAUUUAUAUCAUUCUAUCUAACUCAUCAACGGUUCUUGACCGAACACUCCCGGAAACUCCGUAUCUGCACCGUCCAAAUCUCUGACUUGGGACCGCUCAACAACACUCCUACAUAAUCUCGUUAGUUUGACAACCAAUGAGGUAUAUCCACGUAGCCAGUCUCACCAUGCUCCGCCACUACAUAAGAUUAAAGUAAUCACCUCUUAUAAAUUGAGUCCCACCAUUUGCCCCAAAAUUUCCUGACAUUUUCUCUGUUACACGCUUUCCUUCUUUCUCCAUUUUUUUUAAUUUUCUUACGAUUUGUGAAUCUCUUUUACAUAUUUUCCGGCGAUGGCGUCAACGUCGGGAGAAAUGGAGCAAUUGACAUCAGGAGCGAGCAAUCGGAUCAUUUUUAUUUCGAGAACGCUUAGGAAAUGUCUCGUCUUCGUCUUCUCUCUCGUACUUUCUCUUCUCCUCGUUCUCCGUCUCCGUCCUCGUCGCCGUGUCUCGCCUCUUUCAUCGCCGGAGGAGGGGGAGGAGGCUGUUCCUGCUCCUUCUAGGCGAUGGAGGCGGAAGAUGGCAUGGAAGCUGGAGGAGGAAGACACGGCUAGACGUCGUUCCUUGGCUGAAGGCGUUGAGAUGGCCGGAAAUGAAGAGAUCCCUUGUCGUUGGAGCAGUUCUUUGUUUUACGGCCGUCGUGGUAACGCUUUGUUCUCUCGGUCGUGGUUGCCUCUCUCCGGCGAACUCAGGUAAUUAGCCUCUCGAUUUUUGCAUGCACAAAAUUAGAAUCCUCCGGUUAAGUUCUUAAUCAGAAGUUUUAUCUAACCUUGGUUUCGAUUUUGACUUUGAAUUUUUGAAUUUUAUUAAUCUCUUCAGGGGGAUUUUGAUUAUUAUUCAUGGACUCAAUGAACACAGGUGAAAAAUCAACACUUUUUUAUUUUUAUUUUCAAAUUUAAUUCGUCUUACUAAAUUCUCUAUUAUUCGAUCAAUCUCUCAAUCUGUGAAUUUCUUAAUGUCCAGUGGAAGAUAUUCUCAAUUCGCUAAGCAGCUAAACUCGAGUCAUUUAGGUGUAUACGCUAUGGACUGGAUUGGUAUGAACACGAGCUUGUUCUGUUUCUUCUUCAUUUUCAUAUUUGUUCUGAAACUGUGGGUCUGAACAGGUCGCCAUAUGUUUGGUUUGGUCCAUAACUGUAUUAGGUCACGGUGGGAGUGAUGGUUUGCAUGGCUAUGUUCCUUCUCUUGAUUAUGUUGUUUCCGACACUGUAAGUUUACCAUCUUACAAACAUUACUUCUUCUUUUUUUUUUUUUGUCUUUUUUGGUGAUGAAACUAGAGAAAUGUUCCAUUUGAAGUUGUUGAUUUAGUGAUUUGGUGUCUUGAUUUGAAUUCUAUAGGAAGCUUUCUUGGAAAAGAUUAGGUAUGAGAACCCGGGGGUCCCCUGUUUUCUCUUUGGUCACUCCACUGGUGGAGCUGUGGUUUUGAAGGUACUUCAUUUCGUACCUUUGAAGCUCUGUUCAAGCUUUUAUUGUUUACAGUGUCCUGACAUAAGGGUCUACUUUGUGUUAAUAUAGGCAGCUUCAUCUCCCUCUAUUGAAAAUAUGUUAGCUGGAAUUGUCCUGACAUCGCCUGCACUUCGUGUCAAACCCGCUCAUCCCAUUGUUGGGGUAAGUCGUCUCCUUUGCAGUAUUCAAGUUAGAUGCUUUGUCAUUCUAGGCCGGAGAACUUUGUGGGUGAUCAUUAGGUCAUAUGUUUCUUUGUAGGCAAUAGCUCCACUCUUUUCAUUGGUCGCCCCAAGGUUCCAAUUCAAAGGAGCAAACAAGAGAGGCAUUCCGGUCUCAAGAGACCCUGAAGCUCUCUUAGCCAAGUACUCUGAUCCAUUAGUCUACACUGGUCCAAUAAGAGUCCGAACAGGCCAUGAGAUACUUCGCAUAACAGCUUACUUGACCAGGAACUUCAAAUCUGUUACAGUGCCUUUCUUUGUUCUCCAUGGUACAGCGGACAAAGUCACUGAUCCACUAGCUUCACAAGAUUUGUAUAAUCAGGCACCAUCAGUUUUUAAAGACAUCAAACUCUAUGAUGGUUUCUUACACGACCUUCUCUUUGAACCUGAGCGUGAAGAAGUCGGUCGUGAUAUCAUAGAUUGGAUGAUGAAGCGGCUUGACGAUGUUAACGGAUCAGCCGUUGGCCUCUGGUAAAAUAUCAAAUGGCGAAAUAUCAGAGGUCUUCCUCUUCUCUAGGUAGUUGUAAUACAAAUGGCGUGUUUGUAAAAUCAGAAGCCGAAUGUAGGAAAUACAAAUAUGUAUAAUGGGUUUAAUCUUUGAAUUGUUUGAUUAUUGAAAUUUUCCUUACAAUGGAUGAAGAUAGAUAUGCAUGUGAAUGCAUACUUCAUAAGUAUAUAUUAUCAUUGAUUUUGUUUUCCUUGCUCAUUUUGUUUCCUAACAAUGGAUGAAGAUAGAUAUGGCUUCCUUACAAUGGAUGAAGAUGGAUAUGGUUUCUUAGUAUAAAGAGAGCAUGUUAGUGAUUUCUCAGCUGUUUGACAUGGCUAGUAUGUAAAUUAUAAUAUGUGUUGGUGGUAAAAAUUAACAGAUGUAGCUAGAGACAUGAUAUAUAGUGUAUUAGUGUGGAGACUCAGAGAAAAAGGUCGUCGUUUAGUAUAUCUAUAUAGAAAGGAUAACCAGAGAAAGUCAUGGAGUAAAAUCUUCUUAAUCCACACGUAAGAAUUGAUUUUUCUCUGCUAAUGGUACUAUGCCACUAUUCUUCUUAAAUGGAAUGAUAUUUUUGGUUAUUUGCUCUAGUUCCCAUAGUCCAAGUUACGUUUUAAUUACCUUAUAAUGUCCUUUUUAACUAGAGGUUUCUUGGUUCCUCAAAUUUGUGUUCUUUAAUUACAGUUUAUAUGUAUGUAUGUAUGUAUGUAUGUUCAAUGUUUCUUGUAGUUUAAUCUAUCUGUCAUAGAAUGCAUGAUAACAAUAUGCAAAUCUCUAUUCAUUCGCUGAAAAGAGACAUCUACUGGAGGAUUAUCAGUAGAGAAUGUGUUGUCCAAAAGUUUUGAAAUGGCUGAGAGGUCAAGAUUUAUGGACCAAUAUUCUCUAAUUUUAGGCAAAAUUAAAGAAGUUUUGACAUGAUCAUUUAUUUUUGCAGACAAUACCAUGUAUACAUUAUUUUACAUGUGAGUGAAGUUGGUGGAAAAUCAUUAAUCAUCAAGCAAUUUACAGUAGUCCGGUAAACAAAUGAUCGUAUAUAGCAUUUUCUUGCAUUAUAUAUAUUCUUACAUAAAAAAUAUAAUUUUGUCAAAUGUCUUCAGUAGCUGAAGUUUAUUUUUUUCAAGAUGUGAAUGGUUGCACUAUUUAGAUUGUCUACCAAUAUUGUGUAAGACAUAUAUUAAUUGUUUGUUUGAUGUUAACGUAUUUAUCAUUUGAAUAGUAUAAUUUUGUAUGGUCCUAUUAUUUCAAAGUUGUAGUUUUAUUAAAGAAUUUAUAUCCUCAUCAGUUUUCGUUUCUCAUUGAAUUCAGUACCACUUGAUAUGUAGCUUUUUGUUUUUUUUGGGGUAUAUAUGUUAAGAUUCUACAAACUUUUAAAAGAGGGAUACAACCUAUUCCACCCAACAACAGAGACAUAUAUAGGGAAAACCCCAAAAGAAAAAGAAACUCAAAAGAAAGAAACCAAAAAUGGAAACUUAAGUUGGAGCAUGCAUGUGAGAUUUCAAGAUUUCGUAAUUAUAUAAAUAUACAAAAACAUUGUAAACUAAAAAAAAACCUUUCACGAGAAUAUAUAGGUUAAUAAUAGAAUUCUUGUAACGUCGAAAAUUAUACAGAAGAAUAAUUUUCUAGUUCUGAUUAAGGAAACCUGUCAUAACUACCGUGGGACACACACUCCAUUAACAAGUGAACAAAGCCAAUCUGACGGUGUAGAAGAUAACACGUGUCUUGACUUAACGACAAACAUAGAUUCUCCUAACCACCCUUAUUAAUGUUUGAAUCGGGGUAUUCAUUCGCUUUGAAAAUAAACCGGUUUAAUAACCGGAAAAUAAAAACAUGUAAACCGAUCUAAUUUAUGUACCCAGUGUAAAUUUGGUGCUAGAAGCGAACUCGUAUUCACUUUUUUUUUAUUUUUUUUUUCUUUUUUUUUUUUUUUUUAAAGUUGACAAUAGUAAACACCAUAGUCAAAUUACAAAAACAUAUUAAAACUAUACUAGCAAACAAACGAAACUUUCAAAGGUAAUUUUUUCAAUUAGCUAUAUAUUUUAACAUCAAUAAGAUAGCAAACUAAAUGACUCAAAUUGUAUUCUUAUAAUCAAGUUAUAACAUGCUUAAACAAAGAUAAGUGUUCUACUAAAAACCAUUAACACAUAUUGUUAAAAAUGUCAAUUUAAAAAAAAAAACUUAAAUCAAAUUGAUUAAAAAUCAACCGUCCAUCAAUACAAGAACUAAAAAAAGUAGGAAAAGUUAAUCUGGAUACUUAUAUUGGACCUUACCGUAAAAAACUAAAGUUAGUGAAGUGUUUGUUGAACAAAUCUAUUAUUAAAAAUAGUGCGUUGAUGAUAUUUCUCCAAAACAUGAUGUAUCAUGUAUGUACGAGCUGGAGUUUAAUUUUUAAAGCAUGAGGCAAGGCCCUUGCUACUAAAAAUAUACUAAUCAAGAGUCAAGACCGUACAGAAAUAUGUAGAUACAUUUUAAAAAUUUAAAUUCUUAAAUAUAUAUAUAUAUAAAUUGGAAUCCUAUUGAAAUUGAGCCUUCGCCAUUUACAUGAACGCAACAGAUAAACCAAGAUCUAAUCUAUUUCGAGAUAUAAUAUUGAAUCAUAUAAAUAAUUACAAAAAAUGACAAUAUUCAGUAAGUUGGAGGGUAGUGUUAUUUUCACUAUAUAACUCGUGUUAUUUUAGUUGCUUGCUUUCUAAAAUCUUGAUCUUUUUUAAAAAAAAACAUUUUCUAUAAUGCAAGGUUUAACAAUCAAGGAGAAUUAAAGUAGAUUAUUUUAUUGUCAGGAAAAACACUAUUAGUUCAAAAAAAAAAUUAUUGUCAGGAAAAACAUUUAUAUUAUAUUGUCUCUACAAAAGCAAAACCUAGGCAGGCCACUCACUCAUUUGCCCUAAAAGGACUGUGACCCUUAAUUUCACGUAGAUAAUUUUACGUUCCAAACUGGGAAAUAUAGAGUUAGUGAUUUUUAUGCUAUCUUCGAAACUGUGAUACCUACCGGAAAGGAAAAAACUGUGUUAGCAAUUGAAUCCGUGUUACGUUGCUCGUUACUCAUCGAACAAGAACAGAACCUUGCCUCCACAACACCAUUUCUCCAUUGCUUUUUUUCCCCAGAAGAUCUCCUUUUCUCCAUGGACGCACCUGAAGCCCGCCUCCUCGGAGGGUACGUACGGUUUGUGAAGUUUUCCUUCUUCUCUUCUUCGACUUGCGGUUCUCAAUCUUUUUUCAGCCUCACACUUCUCUUUGUGCAGGCUCUUCUUCUGUUGGCUUGAGCUUGUACAGGCUCCAAGAACCAUGUUGAGAGGUUUUUGGGUGGUUUUCCUUCUGUCAUGCAUCGCUUUGCCCGGCGUUUUACCGGAUCAGGUAUUAGAAACAUUUCUUUGAAAUUUUUCUGAUUCGUCUGAAUUUUUUUUCUUAGUUGAUUGUUGUAUUAUAUUACGUAUUAACGUUUUAUUAGUUGAUUCUCGUAUUAUUUGCUGAAAUUUUUCUUCUGAUUAUCUUUUAGUUGAAUAUUGUAUUAUUUUACUAAUAUGUCUGAAUUUUUUUUAGCAGAUAACUUCAGAUGGUGAUAUAGUGGAAUGCGUAGACAAAUUCAGACAACCAGCAUUCGAGAAUCCACUUCUAAAAUAUCACAAAUUACAAGUAAUUUAUUCAAUUUUUUUUAGUUUAAAAAAAAACUUUUAUUUAUGUAAUUUAUGAUUUAUAUCAAUAUUAACCAAUUUUUUGUUUUGUUUUAAUAAAAAUAAUACAGGAUGUACCGUCUGAAAUACCCAAGAUGAUCGGAACUCAAAAGGGGAAAAGACAAACACAAGAAGCUUAUGUCAGUACUACGAAAUGCCCAGACGGAGCUAUCCCGAUCCUAUUGUCCGGUCAUGCCAAAAAUCGGACACAACCUGAGACCAAAGAUUACCACUCCGGACAUGAGGUAAUAAAUUCUACCAUAUAAAACAUUCAAACAACUAAAAAAAAAAAAAGUAAUAGUAAUAAUCAAAGACUCGAUUGGUAUGGUUCAAAAGAACAGUCCUAAUUCUGCACAUAUAAGAAUAAGUAGCAAACAUGAAUUAUAAUCAAGUUACUUUAAUAAUCAUGUUUAAUCUUUGACUAUAUGUAAAUUUGAUAAAUAAUUUGAAACAUGCAAUAAUUUCUUACACCCAUAAUCUGUUCUAUUUCUAUCAAACAUCUAUUUGGUUUAGUAGCCAAUAAUCAUUACAAGAACAUUUCCCAUCUUUAAAAUGAUGAAAAACGAUUCAAUUUCCCUCAACAUAAUCUCUCUACCAUAAACCAGAAACCAUCAAUACACAGUACAGCUAUCUCUUUAGUUAUUGAACCCAAACCGGUUUAGGUUUCACCGUGCCUAUAAGCCCAAAUGCCACGUUCUCUGACUCGUUCCUUUAGAAAGGAGAAGAGUUUUUCUAAAACACAAUUACAAGAAAACAAAUGUGGGUAAUAAGAGCCCAUUUAAAUAUUCAUAAAGGCCCAAUUUAAGAAACAUACCCAACACAUUUCACAGAAGAGAUUUAAUAGCCUCUGUACCGAGAUUACAGUUUUGCAUAUGUGAUGACAUAAGACUAUGAUCCUGCAUCCUAUCAGAUACCUUUCUGCAAUCAUCUACCUCAACCCAUCCAGAAAGCGAUCCGCAUACACAUAAGCAACUAAACUACACUCUAACAUCAUCCCCAGUCUUGAUCUAGUGGCCCAAGAAUGCCAAUUGCUUCUUCCCAGAAACAAGUUAUCCGACAAAGAGAUUAUAUAGUGUGAACUUUUGUUUUUUUUUUUUUUUUGUGUGCACAAUAUAGUGUGAACUUAUCUGAUUGAAAUCCACCAAAAAAACCAUGUCCAAUAAAAAUCUUGUUGCUUCUUUAGGAUAACCCCAUUUGCAUACACAUACACCGAGUUAUCAUCAACGUCCAAGUGACAACAUUUAGUUAGUGAACCAACCGAGUAAAUUGAAAACCCCAUUUGCAUACACAUACACUGAAUAAAAUUGAACUGAAAUCUACGAUCUAAGAUAGAAUCUCUAACUAGUUACAACGACAUAAAGCUUCUGAUGCGGAACCACUUUGAGAAGAUGAGUAAUAUAAUGCUGUUGUUACUGAAACCGGACAUUAACCAUCAAUAACCGAAACAACCCAAUCUCCCAAUAGAGCGUGACUGAGUUUUCCCCAGUGGUAAAUCGCCUUGUGUGAUAAAAGACUUUCCGCUUCUUUUAAAAAUAAUUGGGUAGGACUUUUACAUGAUGAAAACUUUGAGAUUUUGAGAUAAAUUUAGGGGCCAUUUUGCAAAAAUUUAGAAUUCGAUUGUAUGUUCAUCAUUUUUAAUAACAAACAAAAAAUACACCUAAUUCAACUUUGUGUUUCUAUAAUUUAUUUAAAUUAAUCAUUUAAAAAUUACUAACUUGACGAAAGCCCUUCUAACAAAAAAAGAAAAGAGAAUGCCAUACUUUGCAAAAGUUAAAUAUAACAGUACAAAUGCCUAAGUAUAUAUUCUUAUUAAUAAUUAAUUACUGGUUGAAUACAUGCAGUAUGCGAUCGUAUCCUAUGAGGAUAACACGAAGUUGUACGGAACAAAAGCCGUACUCAACGUUUGGGAUCCAGCCAUAGAAGAAGGAGCAGCAGAGAUGUCUCUAGCGCAAAUUUGGAUUGCAUCAGGCGAUUAUGAGACCGCUGAUCUUAACACCAUUGAAGUGGGCUGGCAGGUACGCUUACUUUCAUUUUUAACAUCUUAAUUUUGUUUGUUAUUAACAUACUUAGUUUUAAUUAUAUAUGUAAAACAAACGACUAAAACAGUAAUUUGUUUUCGUUAUUCAAAUAUGCAGGUUCUGCCUCAGAUGUAUAACGACAUCAGGCCUAGGUUAUUCCUCUUUUGGACGGUACGUUUCAUUCUUUAUCACUAUUACUUCAUACUAUAUUCUACUUCUUUUUUUUUUUCCGUUUGAUAACGUUCCAGCACAUAAAUUAUAAUUACAUUUAUUGUUUGCAAUAUGGAUUUCAUAUUUAAUUACUUCAGAGCUAGUAGUAAUACUGUUACAACUUUAAAUAGAUAAAAGAUUAAACGGACCACUACUACUAUAAUUAAGUCUAUAACUGAAUCAUCGAGAACUCUUUAUAGAUCCACUCAGCCUUCCUUUUUUAUCAUCAUUAUAAUUAUAAGAAAAGACAACGGGAUUAAGUAUAUAUUGUUUUUUUUUUGGGCAAAAAGUAUACAUUGUUAAGAAAAUAAUAGUGAACCAAAAAAUGACUGGUUUGUUGAACUGAGUCUUUUAUAGUUUUAUGUGGUUAAGUUGGCAAACUGUUACAAGUUAUAUCUAACUACUAAAUUAAAAUUAAAGAAAAACUUAAAUAACAGUAAAAUAAGUAUUUAAAAUCCACACUUUUUUUGUUGUUGUUUCACACACUUGUAUUCAAAAUAUAAUAUCAAUAUAAAAAUUGAAAACGAAAUUUAGAAGUAACUUCUAUAACUGAUCUUAUCAGUCAAACUCUUAAAUAAAUUUAUAUCAAAUUUGGUAAAUUUUAAAUGUAGUUGUUCUUUUACUAGGUUUUUUGCUGUUUCCAAAAUACUUAUUAUUGUAAUACACUGGUACUAUAAUAUGAUUUUGAAUUAUUUAUGCUAAUAGCAAUGUUUUUGUUUUACAGGGUAAUACAUACCGAAGUGGGUGCUACAACGUCCGCUGCUCUGGUUUUAUCCAAACCAGUGGCAGUAUCGUCGUUGGAGGCCCAAUUGCCCCGGUUUCUUCUUUAGGAGGUAUCCAGACCGAACUUACAGUUUUCGUGUGGAAGGUUAGUAAUUUUAAGAUUUUAUUUUAAAAAUAUGUUUUUGAUAAAAAUAAAAAUUAAUUAGGAAAAAAUAGUUAACGAAUAUAUUUAAGGUUCAAUAAAAGUUAAAUAAUUAAUGUAUAUAUUAAAGGUUUAAUUAGAAAAUUUGUAAAUCAUUACAUGCACGAAGAUGAUUGAACUCACCAUUCUCUAGUAAGAUUUUAUGUAUAUUUACAUUGAAUUUUUAAAUCGUAUGUGAGAAGCUUAUAAUUUCAACUUUGUUAGUAUAGAUUUUAUGUAUAUUUACAUUUUUCUUAUGAAAAUAUUUUUAGACAUAGAUUGUUAACUAACUAACUAAUCAAAAUACAGGAUCGGAAAUCAGGAAACUGGUGGUUAAGUUUAGGCGUUAGCAUAGUAGGAUAUUGGCCAGCCGAACUGUUUACUACACUUGCUGAUCACGCAGCCUACGUACAAUGGGGCGGUGAGAUCCUGAACAAGCAGCCUUUAGGACGACACACGACGACCCAAAUGGGUUCCGGGCAUUUUCCAGACGAAGGUUUUGGGAGAAGCGGUUACUUCAGAAACUUGGAAUACGUUGAUUACAACAACCGGUUAGAGUCAGUCCCAGUCCAAAAGUUGGGCAUCAUAGUAACUAACCCAGAUUGUUACAAGGUCAAGCAUCUAUUUUCAGAUGAUUGGAAGACCCAGUUCUACUAUGGGGGGCCAGGGUUUACCCAUUCAGGAGCUACAUUGGCACUUGCCUCACGCUCUCUAUUUUUCGUUGUAGUUGUAUUACUAUUUCUUAUCGUUUAGUGUAUUUUUUUUCUUAAUUUAUAACUCUUCUGUAAUAUUUAGAGAGAGGAAAAAAACAAUUUGGACAAUGGAAGGACUGUAUGUGUAUGGGUUGAUAGAGAAAUAUUUAGCUAACCACCACACCAUGUAAAGUGAUCGGUUAAUAAAGUAAGUACACGGUAAUCGGUUUCUAUCUAUUACAGACAAGUAAAGUUAUAAUUUGACACCUUCCGUAACUUCUGUAAUAUUCAAAGGUGACAUAUUUUAAAAACAAAUUUAAUCAAAUGAAAUAUUUUUCUUUUAACAAAAAAGACAAGUACUAAACAGCUAAACAAAAAAAGGCAUAUUUUCAAGUUUUUUUUGGAUGAUACCCAAAAAAGAAUCAACUCAGCAAUUCAUAAUCCUGCCUCUUCUCUCUAUUUCCAUCACCCUUAAGGUAUGGUUCUCGCUCACCACCUUUCCCAACGCCUUAAUUAGUCCGGAGCUAAGUGAGCAAUUUGAGCUCCUCUUUCUCUUAAUUUAUUUUAGGGAUCUCAUAUAUAUAUAUAUAUAUAUAUUAGAUUUUGGGUAGUAUAUAUCCUUUUAUAAUGAGUAUUUUUUUUCAAUUGUUAAAGAAGAAGAAAAAAAUCAAAGUUGGAUUGUUUUGUUUGUUUGGAAAGAUGACUGCUAUUUCACACAUGGGAUACGGAUACCACCAACGUAACUGCUGUCUGGUCUCCACGAAUAACGCAAACGUUUCUCACUACUCACUCAUCAUCUUUCCUAACGCAUUAAUUAGUCCGACGCUAAGUUGAACAUGCAGUUUGUGCCAUUUGGGUUCCUCCUCCCCUUUCUCUUGUAUCGUAUUUUUGAAUAUAGAAUCGACUUUUUUUGGGCUAUUUAUCCUUUUAUGAUGAGGUUUUAAUUCUUUACUAUUUUGUGAUACUCAUUAUAUAUAUCUUUUAGUUGUAUUUUUGUUAAGAAGAAAAUAUGUUCUUUAGCUUUAGUUCUUUAGAAAAAAGUAUUUUAUAUGAUUUGGUGUGUUUUUUAAAAAAAAUCUCAAUUUAAUACCACAAGAUUUUAUUUUGACCAUAAUGAUUCUUCCAGAUUUGCCACCAAUAAAUAUUUUGAUUAUAUAUAAAUCAGCUUCUUUACUAUUUUUGAUACUUUGCAAAAAAAAAAAAAAAAAACUAUAUUUGGAGGUUAAUAUAUUUAGUAGAAAGGAGUGGAUAACUGAAGUGACUGAACAAAUAAUAUAUUCAAGAUCAUUGAGUUAUUAUGUUUUUAAAAGCAAUACCAUAUAGUAAAGUAAGUUUUAUUUCGAUAAAUUUAUUAUCUAUUACAAUUGAAAACCAACAACAUAAAAGUCAAUCAUAACAUAAUUCGUCGCUUAAAUCACCAAUUAUAAGAUUUUUUUUUGAUUUUACGCUCUACUGCAACAACAUUUUCCAGUGCUCUGAUUUGGAACACAAUGUCCGGCACGAUAAUGUUUCAUUGCACAGUCAAUAUGGCAUUCAUAAUCUUCAUAAUAUCCUAUCUCACACUUAGCAAAACAGUUCGGUGGUCCUACACAUACAACCCACAACAAAUUAUAUAUUCUUGAUUUUAUAUUUUAGAAAAGAAAAAUAUUUACUAUUGGUCUUAAACUUCUUAAGCAUAGUUACAUAAUGAUAAUAAGAUAGAAGAGAACUCGUAUGUAAUAAAAAUCAUACCUGCUAAAACAUUGAUGUCGGAUAACGAAAUUGUCAAUAUUAUGACAAGAAAAAACGUGACAGAGAUUUUUGUGAUAUUCAUUAUAUAUCCCUUUAGUUUUAUUUCUGUAAUGAAGAAAAAAUGUUCUAUUGCUUUAUAGUUGUUUAGAAGAAGCUGAAUUUAUAGGAUUUUGUGUUUUUAUAAAGAAAACUCAAUUUAAUACCCCAAGAUUUUAUUUUGACCAAAAUGAUUCUCUUGAAUUUGCUACUAAUAAAUAUUUGGAAAUAUAUAUACAUAUAUAUAAUUGAAUCUCUACUAUUUUUAAUGGCAAGUUCAUGGAAAUAUAUUAUAUACAGUAGAAAAACUAUUAUAGAAAUAUAUUUCUGGUCACAAUAUUUUAUAAUUUGGUAGUCAUUUAAAUUUGAUAAGUAUUUUAUAAAAUCAAACUUGAAUAAUAAUAGAAAAAGUUAUAAUAAAAUCCAGCAAAUUAAUUUAUGUGUUAAUUUAUCAUGAAGGAAAAUCUCAGUGGUUUAAUAUUUUUAACGAAAAAUUCAAGUGACCAGUAAAAAGAUAUAUAAUUCACAAUAAGCAAAUUGAUAUCCAUAUCUGGACUUAACGUAGGACUUUCUUUUCACAUUGAGAGUCUGUUUUUUGUUGUUGUUGUUAAGAUUUCUUCGAGUCUCCAACCAACAGUUUUUAACUGAAUAUUCUUGGAGAUUUAUUCUUAAAGGUUUUUUUCUGCAUGAAGCGUCUCAUGGUAAUACUUGUAAACGCAAAGCAUGUGAUGUGACGAGAAUGUGUGAAAGCGAAAUGUCUCAGAAGAGACAACAAUACAUAUACAUACUGUGCUCAAUUCAAUUGCUCACCACAACAUGAAUGGAGACACAAUUCUGCCUAACAAACACGCAACUAUGAUACCCAAAAAAAGAAUCAAACUCAGCAAUCCAUAACCCUACCUCUUCUUUCUAUUCCCAUCACCCUUCAGGCUUCAGGUACGGUUCCGAGGCUAAGUGAGCAAUUUGAGCUCCUCCCCCUUUCUCUUAUUUUAUCUCUUUUGUAUAUAUACUUGACUUACUUUGGGCUAUAGUAUUUACCCUUUUAUAAUGAGUCUUUUUUUUUUUUCUUCUAUUGUUAAAGAAGACAAAAAAAUCAUAGUUGGAUUUUGUUUUUUUUCUUUGGAAAGAUAACUGCUAUUUCACACAUGGGAUACCAACGUAAUAAUGCAAACGUUUUGGUAUUCUUUUCUAUAAUUAUAUAUUUAUAUUCUUCUACCUUAUUGCAAAAUAGAAAAAAAAAACGAGCAAUGAACCCAAAAUUUUGAGUUAAAUAACAAUCAUAACUAUUUUUAAUGCGAUUUAAAGCCACAUCUAUAUUCUUGAUUGUUAAAUUUCACUUAAAAACUGUAUCUAUAGUUGAAGGAUGUUAAUAUACAUUAGUAGAUUAAACGCGGUAUAAUACAUUUUUAAUGUACAUUUGGACGUUAUUACUUAUUACUAUGGUGGAUUAAACAUUUGGAUAAUUAAAGUGAAGGAACAAAUAAUAUAUAUUUGAUUCUAUUUUGUUGAGUAAUUAUGCUUUAACAAAAGCAAUACCAUAUAGUAAAGUUACUUUUAUUUCGAUGAAUUUAGUACACAUUCUAUUUGAAAAUCAACAACUCAAAAAAAAAAAAAAACAUAAUCCAUCCCUUAAAUCACCAAUUAUAAGAAAAUAAUCAAUUUUUAUUUUGGGAAAAUUGAUUUUAAAGGAUGUUUUUUUUUAAAUUUGUCCAUUUAUGCCUUCUUUUUUAAAGUUUGGUAUAUUAGGUUUUAGAAUAGGAAAAUGCUCAAUUAUAUCCUUACUUAAAUUAUAUGGAAAUAAACAUCAAACUUUUUGAAAAAAAAAACAUCAAAUUAGGAAAUUUUCUGUAAGAAAAAAAGAUAUUCUUAAAUCUAAAAAAAUCAAAAACAUAUAUUAUUUUUCCUUUUAAAAAAAAACUCUUCUCAUUUAAUAUUGUAAAAAGGUAAAAAAAACCAAAGAUAGACUCGACGAUGUCAAAAUUUUCUGAAAAAUAAAAACUUCAUUUGUUCGUGAUUAUCAAACCUAAACUAGGAAGAUUGUUUGAGACUAGCUCUUUGAUAUUGUUAGUUUUUAAUUUUUGGUCAAACUCAAGGACUGUAUAUACACCUAACGUUCACUCAAAAUAAAAAUAUAUGAUUUCUAGAUAUUAGGGAAUACAAAAUAUUUUGUUUCCUUUAAUUUAGGAUUCAAUUUCCUUGUAUAAGAUAGUUCUAAAAAUUCGUAGAAUACAUUUUCUAAAAUAUGAAGAACGAAGAGUAAAGUGUAGAAUUGAUGAUCUAACUUUUGCAGAAUAUAGGGUAAAGUGUAGAAAAUAAAUUCUAAAAUUUGUAGAAUAUAGAGUAACAUGUAGAAUACAUAUUCCAAAUUUUGUANNNNNNNNNNNNNNNNNNNNNNNNNNNNNNNNNNNNNNNNNNNNNNNNNNNNNNNNNNNNNNNNNNNNNNNNNNNNNNNNNNNNNNNNNNNNNNNNNNNNNNNNNNNNNNNNNNNNNNNNNNNNNNNNNNNNNNNNNNNNNNNNNNNNNNNNNNNNGUAUUCUAAAUAUUGCAGAAUGAUUUUUUCAAUAUCAAAAUCAACAUACUUUCAUCCAAAACUCUUUUGUUUAACAUUAAAUCUUAUUAAUCUUUAAUUGUUGAUAUGUUUUAAUUUAAAAAUUAAUUAAAAAUUAAUUUUAUUUAUUUAAAAGGGUAAUUUAGGUAUAACUGACAAUUUACCGCAGAAAGCAUAAAAGGACAAAUUUUUAAAAAAACAUUCUUUAAAAUCAAAACCCCCUUUUAUUUUCUAGUACAACAACAUUUUCCAGAUAUCUGAUUUGGAACACAACCUCCAUAAUCAUAUCCUUUCUGUCUACAAUCAAGGAUGCAUUCAUAAUCUUCAUAGUAUCCUUCAGCACACUUAGCAAAACAGUUCGGUCCUACACAUACAACCCACCAAAAAAUUAGAUAUGUUUAAUAUAUUUUGCAUUUAUACACAAUUUUUUCUAAAUAAAUCUUAAAACAUGUACAAAUGGUACCUUUAAGUAUAUAUAUAUAAUAGCUAUUCUCGAUUAUAUAUUUUGAAAAAGUAAAAUAUUUACCCUUGAUCAUAAAAUUAUCAAAAAUAGUUACAUAAUAAUAUUAAUAUAUGAGAAAAUUCUUCUCAUAAAAACAUUCUUAUAAAAAUAUCAUACCUGAAGCGGCUAAAACAUUGUUGCCAGAUAACGAAAUUGUCAAUAUUAUGACAAGAAAAAAAGUGACAGAGACUUUUGUGAUACUCAUUAUAUAUGAUCUUUUAGUUUUCUUUCUGUUGGGAUGAAAAAUAUGUUCUAUAGCUUUAUAGUUCUUUAGAAUAAGCUAUAUUUAUAUGAUUAUUGUGACUUUAAAAAAUUCUCAAUUUAAUACCCCAAGAUUUUAUUUUGACCAUAAUUAUUAUUUCGGAUUUGUUACCAAUAAAUUUUUGGAAAGUAUAUAUAUAUAUAUAAAGUUCAAUAAUUACACAAGAAAAUAUUUUUUAAAAACAGAACUUGAAUAAUAACAAAGAAAUUAUGAAAAAUCUGCAGAUUAAUUUAUGUGUUAACUUUAUCAUGAAGGAAAAUUACAAUGAAUUAAUAUCUUUUAAUUAAAAAUUUAAGUGACCAGAAAGAGAUAUAAUUCAGAAUGGUGUAGUUUAGUGAUAAAUGAGUUGCUUUUAUAUCAAAAGUAUUAAAAUAGCAUAAAUUUUAUACAAACUGUUUUUGUUGUUAAGAUUUCUUUGAAUGUUCAACAAACUGUUUUUAACUGAAUAAUAUUGGAGAUUCAUUUUUUUUUUCAUCAAUAAUAUUGGAGAUUCAUUCUUAAAGGUUUUUGCAUGAAGCGUCUCAUGGUAAUACUUGUAAACGUAAGGCAUGUGAAUAUAUGAUGCGAGGAGAAUGUGUGAAAGCAAAUGUCUCAGAAGAGACAACAAUAUGUGUAUAUACAUAAUGUGUUCAAUUAAAUUGCUUACCAGCUUAUAUAUUAUGCACACAACAGCGAGCCUUUUGACUUUUUAUAGAAGUGAAAAACGAGAAAUUAAAGGGUCAACAAAAUGAAACAUAAAGGAAAGUAAUUACUUUGACAAAUAUUGGAGUAGGUGAUAAAUAAAAAAAGUGCAACAUUUUGGAAUCGAUUCCUUGUAUAUGUUCUAGAAUAGAUAUGAGCUUUUAUCGACUAAUAAAACGCGUCUUGUUGUGAGAUCUCCUGGUCCGUUUCAGUUUAAUUUUGUAUGAACACGAAAAAAUAGUAAUGGCCGAGGGGAAAAGUAAACAUUGGUCAAUGGAAAAGUAAGUGGAAACAAUAAGAGACGAGAAGCUAAAAAAAUAUUGGUGAAAUAUGCAAACUAUUUAAAAAUUGCAAAAAGCUUAUUUUAAAACAUACAUUACAUCAGGACGUAUGUCGUUACGAGUUAUAUGAAUUGAUUAUUUUUUUGUUCGUCAUGAAUUUGAUUAAUUAAGGCACUAGUUGUAGUCGCAAUCCAUAUCCAUGAUCGUUUAAUUAAAAAUCAUUAGUAGACUAAAUAUUCCUUAUAUAGUUAAAGGCACUAUAAUGACACUUCGGUACCUAUCUGAGGUGGGUUUUUUUUUUCUUUCUUUUUUCUUUGUAAUAAUGUAUUUGAUGAUAAUCCUCACUUUUUUGUUCUGUAAAAUAAUUGUAAAGAAAAAAAGAUAAAUAAUAACAUGUUGACAUAUAAUAACGUAUAUUCAAGUUGUGAGAGGAUCAAUCGUUCAAUCUCGGCUGCCAAGUUUGAUCCUCAGAGACACGUCCCCGCAGCCUCAAAAUACAAUUAUUGUCUUUCCUUUUUUAUUUUCUCACUGUAUACAAUUAUUAUUAUAUAUUUUUAAUUUUAUCAUCACAAUUUUUUUUCUUUUUUAACAUCAUUACUAGGCAUGACCACGGUUACGGUUAAUGCGGUUAUGGUUAAUUAACCACCGGUUAACGGUUAUAAUUUUUUAACCAUAACCUUAAUCAUUAUAUAUACGGUUAAGACGGUUACGGUUAUAUACGGUUACGGUUAAUUACGGUUACGGUUAAAUACGGUUACGGUUAUUUGAUGAUUAUUAUAAUAUUAAUAUUGGAGAUAAAAUUUUAUGAAAUAUUAUUUAUUUUACAAGUAAAAAACAUAUUUGAUUUCAAUUAUUUAUAGUGAAUUAGUUAAAUCUGGGUAUUGUAUACAGUUAUAAUAUAAUUUAUUUUAAAAUUUUAAAUAUGCGGUUAACCGAGCGUUUAACCGUACGGUUAACCGACGAUUAAUUACGGUUAAUUAUGGUUACGGUUAAUUAACGGUUACGGUUAUUAUUAUUUUUUAACCGUAACUAAUUUACUUUUACGGUUAACGGUUACAAUUUUUAACCGUUUUAUACGGUUACGGUCCGGUUACGGUUGAUAAACGAUCCGGUUACGGUUAAAAAUACGGUUAAGGUUAGCUUUUGGUCAUGCCUAAUUAUAUCCAUGUAUUAUUAGUAAUUAAUCUAUUACUAAAGAAUGGGGGUAAUUAACAAUUCAGCAAUUUUGACUCUUGUUCUUUUUCAAUUGGUUAUCUAAUUUAACACUCAUAUUCCUGUUUUAUCUUCUAAUCUAUUAUUUAUUUCUUCAUUAAAAAAAAGACUAAAACGACACCAAAAACAAGAAAUACACAACACUUACUUGCUGGCUGAUGAAUUUUUAUUAUUUAUCCAUCAACUUGGUGAAACUGUUUAGGGGGGAAAAAACAUACAAUUGGUAUUGUAGUACUGCAAUUUUUUAGAAUGUGAAAAUCGUUUUAUUUAACAAUGUUUUUUAUAUAUAAAAAGACAAUAAUAGUAUAAGGUAAAAAAAAAAAAAAGAGAGGUAAUGGAUGAAGAGAGGACCUACACGAGAGAGGGUGACUCAGUCCACGUUCUUCUUCUCGAUUUGUCAAUUAGCUCCAAUUUUCAGACUUUUUUUGCAUUUUCAAACUGUUUCUUUCGUUUUCCUCUUUCUCUGGCCUAUAUAAUUCCACUAUCCUCCACUUCUGUGUUUCCAUCAUCAUUCACCUAAGAAAAUAUCUUCUAAGCUCUCAUCCAUCAUUCAACAACUCUCUUCAAUCUACUUCUCUGUUUCCUCUGUUUCCUCUGUUUCUUGAUUGUUGUUGUGUUUAGCUCGGAAGAUAGAUAUGGGAAGUACUCCGGCUGAGUUACCUUGUGAGGAUGUCGCCGAUAACAGAUCCGGCGUUGGCGGUGGUAUCUCUGAUGUCUACGGUGAGGAUUCCGCCACCUUGGACCAGCUCGUCACUCCCUGGGUUACCUCCGUCGCUAGGUUAGUCAACGCUCCUUUAGAUUUCAUACCCUUUUUGUUUUACUUUGAUCUUUCACAGUUUCGUAGCUUAGUAAAGCUGUUUGCAAGUAAAGUUAGCUUUUUUUGUUUAUUUAGUUUAUAAACUUAAAAGCCAAGAAAAUUUCUGUGAAAUAUGAACUUUAGUUUUUUCUUGUCGUUGAAGUUCCAGUUUUUUUUUUCCUGUGGAGCUUUAUAGUGGAUUGAAAUGUUUUUUUUUUUGUAGUGGUUACUCGUUGAUGCGUGAUCCGCGUUACAACAAGGGACUUGCAUUCACUGAUAAAGAAAGAGAUGCUCAUUACUUAACUGGUCUUCUUCCCCCUGUGGUUUUGAGUCAGGAUGUUCAGGUGACUUGGAAAAUGAGCUCACUUUUUGUUCUGUUUUGAUUUGGGUUUCUUUGUGUUGUUAACUUGUGAUUUGCGGUUCAUUUAUUAGGAGAGAAAGCUUAUGCACAAUCUCCGUCAGUACACUGUUCCUCUACAGCGUUACAUGGCCCUCAUGGAUCUUCAGGUCAGUGAUUGUUCUUAGAAACCAUAGUAGAGAAUACGGCCGUUAGUUUUUCUUAUGAAAUGGUAACUUAUGUAUCUGAGUCUUGCAGGAAAGGAACGAGAGGUUGUUCUAUAAGCUUUUGAUUGAUAACGUUGAGGAGUUGCUACCAGUUGUGUACACACCAACAGUUGGUGAGGCUUGCCAGAAGUAUGGGAGCAUUUUCAGGAAGCCACAGGGUCUCUACAUCAGUUUGAAAGAGAAGUAUGUGUUUAAAAUCUUGUUUACCAGGUCACUUUCCAUUUUGUUUCUCUGAAACACUAAAUUGGAAUGUAUGUUCCUUUAGGGGCAAGAUUCUUGAAGUGUUGAAGAACUGGCCCCAGAGAGGGAUCCAAGUUAUCGUUGUUACUGAUGGUGAGCGUAUUCUCGGUCUGGGAGAUCUUGGUUGCCAGGUAAUAAAAUUGGUCCUUGAGUUAGACACUUGAAACUUAUUCCCAUGUUAUGCUGAGGACCUGUAUUUAUCAUUUAUUGUUAACGUUUCCAGGGAAUGGGAAUUCCAGUGGGCAAACUAUCUCUUUACACAGCUUUGGGAGGAAUCCGUCCAUCAGCUGUAAGCACUAGAACAAAGGCUUCAAUAUAUUUGCCUAGAAAUUAGUUAUACUUGAUUGAUUAUUCAAUGACAAUAGUUUGAUCCUAAGUGCAAAUCCGCUUUCAAAUGCAGUGUCUUCCAAUCACCAUUGAUGUUGGUACAAACAAUGAGAAGUUGCUGAAUGAUGAAUUCUACAUCGGCCUUAAACAACGAAGGGCAACUGGCCAGGUUUACUAAUCUUUUUCAUAUUAUUUCUUUCCCUUCUUAUAACUAAUGCAAUGGUCUUUUUUUUUCAAAAACUGACUAGUCUGUUUGCUUUUUUGUUUUCAGGAAUAUGCAGAUUUUCUUCACGAGUUCAUGUGCGCUGUCAAGCAGAACUAUGGAGAGAAAGUGUUGGUACAGGUGAGCCAUGGGAUACAACUCUCUUAAACACUACGGAUUUUGUUAGAGUUAUUCUUUUUCUUAAGAUGUCCCGGAAUAAUAUCAUACAUACUCUUCUUUUCAGUUUGAAGAUUUUGCAAACCACAAUGCAUUUGACCUUUUGUCUAAGUACAGCUCUAGCCAUCUUGUCUUCAAUGACGAUAUCCAGGUAACUUCUUUACCUCAAGAUUUUGAUUCUAUUUCCUUACAUUUUAGUUGAGAUGGGAGAGAGCUUACCAAGAACUUGUUUUUUGUUUUGUGUAAUUGCAGGGUACUGCAUCUGUGGUACUUGCUGGGCUUAUUGCCGCUCAGAAAGUGCUUGGUAAAACCCUGGCUGACCAUACCUUCUUGUUCUUGGGUGCUGGAGAGGUGAGACAGAAGCAUUAUACUCUAUAAGCUUAUCAAUUUGUUUUGCAUAUAUGUUUUGCUGCUUACACUUUAUCUCGCUGGUUCUUUGAAGGCUGGAACCGGUAUUGCUGAGCUAAUUGCUCUUAAGAUUUCAAAAGAGGUUAGUUAAUCUGUUUUUUUUUUCUUACGUUUUCUCUGUUUUCUGCUAAGAAUAUGUGAUUGAUCAUAUCUCGGUUGUUUUGUAGACUGGAGCUCCCAUCAAUGAGACCCGUAAGAAGAUUUGGCUCGUGGACUCCAAGGUAUUGUUGAGAGCCACCCAGAUCAGGCUCAUUCUCUUUAGUUGGAUAAACCUUCUUGGUUUUUAAUGUAUCUCUUUUCAACUUUAUUUGCAGGGACUGAUUGUUAGCUCGCGAAAAGAAUCUCUUCAGCACUUCAAGCAGCCAUGGGCUCAUGAGCACGAACCUGUCAAGAACCUCAUUGGUGCUGUCAAUGUACGUGAUGAGCUCAUCUUUAAGUUUCUUGAUGGGAGAAUAAAGGAUCUUGAUGUCAGAUGUUUUAUUCUUGUGUUCACUCUUUUUUUUUUUUUAAUACUUUUUCAAACAGGCAAUCAAGCCAACUGUUCUCAUUGGAACAUCCGGUGUGGGUCAAACUUUCACAAAGGAAGUUGUUGAGGCCAUGGCUACUAACAACGAGGUUUCUUUUUGUUCUUCCUUUCUGCUUUCUUUCAAAAAACAAGGUUUAUAUGUUAUUGUUCUAAUACUUGUCUUGGUGUUGGCAUAUAGAAACCGUUGAUUCUUGCUCUUUCAAACCCUACUUCUCAAGCUGAGUGUACCGCAGAACAGGCUUACACAUGGACCAAGGUAUACUGUCUCAUAUGACAUCUAAUGUGAUUAAUGUCUGACUCCUGAUUAUUUAAAAAAUCAUAAUUUGGUUUUGUUGCUGCUCUCAUGUCUAAUCAUAUAUUGUGCUUAAUAUAGGGUCGUGCAAUCUUUGGAAGUGGAAGCCCAUUUGAUCCUGUUGAGUACGAUGGCAAAACUUACUUGCCUGGCCAGGUUCGUGCUGUUUCCACAACUCCUUACCUCUCAACUUUAAAUUUUUCUAUGUGACAAUUUGAGUGCUCACAUCAUAUUUCCAUAAUCCUACUUCACUCAGGCAAACAAUUGCUACAUUUUCCCGGGUUUGGGUCUUGGUUUGAUCAUGUCCGGUGCUAUCCGUGUCCGUGAUGACAUGCUCCUUGCAGCUUGUAAGUAAAAAUAAACACCAUAAAAUCAAACUUGGAUACUGAUGAGUUGUUGUGACAGUCAUUUACAAGAUUCUCAAUGUAACUAUCUCUAACUUGUCUCUCUCUGUUUUCAACAGCUGAAGCAUUGGCAGCACAAGUCACAGAAGAGCAUUUCGCCAACGGUCUGAUCUACCCACCAUUCUCAAACAUCAGAGAGAUCUCAGCUAACAUUGCAGCCAGUGUUGCCGCCAAAACCUAUGACCUCGGUUAGUUGAAUGAAACUGUCUUAACACUUUUAAUGAGACCGUCUUAACUCUAAUCUCAAGGUUCUAAAUCAAUGUAUUUGUGGUAUAGGAUUGGCGUCUAACCUCCCACGUGCAAAGGAUCUGGUCAAGUUUGCAGAGAGCAGCAUGUACAGCCCUGUCUACAGAAACUACCGUUAAAAAAAAGUUUUGUUGAAGAAACACCUGCAGAUUCUCCUAUUCAGAACCCUUAAUAAUAGUUCUUCUUGAAGCUUGUAUUGAGUUUUAUUGUUGCUUGUUCGUUUGAUUUCUACUUCUUCUUCUUCAUUCUGAUGUUGUUUAAGAACUCUCUUUGUAUUUUGCUGAUGAAUAAUAAAUUUUCUAAUUACUACUAUAAUCUUCCCAUCAUUUAUUUGUCUAAAACAUUUCCAACCCCCACUGAGAACACAAUCAACUUAUGCUUUAUCCUGGUUUAGAAUUUCUUUUGUACUCUUCAUAGCCUCAAAGUUCUGAAACUAAGGAACUUCAACUGUUGCUAAAAUAAACGAAUAUGUAUAGAUUUUUUCAUUACUUCGUUUAAAAGAGUUCAUCAAAGUACUUACUUUUCAUUACUUUGUCUUAAAAUCAAAAGCUCAAACCAAAUUUGUUGAAAUGGGGUAAAAUCACUCAAAUUUUGAUUGCGAGCGAAAUUGAAAUUAAGAAAUAAGUUGAGGGAGUAAAUAAUGGUUAAAAAGGUUUUAAGAAAAAACACGUUUGGUUUAAUAAACCGCGUGAUCAUCUCUCUUUCUCUUCUGGAAUAAGCGAGAAGCUCUAAAUCUCAUCUCUCGUCCCUUUUAUUAUAACUUUCAUCUUCUUCUUCUCCAAUCUCUCCUCCGAUCAAAUCCAUUUUUUUUUUUAGCUAUCGACAGAGGUAUGUAAAUUUCGAAUUCUCUGCUUUUCCGGAAAACUCUACUAGCGUUCUGAUCAGAUGCGGCGCGAAUAGUGCAGGCUUGCUUGAAACUACCAAAUUUUGGGUCGUUCUGUGGCUUGUUUCUUAUUGCUGCUAUCAGAUUUUGAUUCUCUUAGAAUUAAGGGAUUUUACAUGUUCUCUUCGUAUGAUUGAUUAUGUCUUGUCAGUUAUUAUGGACUAACCUAGGUUUUGUUUCUAUUACCAGUGCUUUGAUUUUGUUCAAUCGGCUCUGGUUACCUCGAUCUAUGAAUUUCGAUUGCUGAUUUGAAUUGAGUAAUAGAGGCAAUUGUAACAUAACGUGUGUUAUGCCAUGAAUUUAUGAACAAGGGAAUCCUGGGUUUAACUUUUCAUGUUGAGAUUACGAACCUUGGAAUUGACUUCUGUUAACUAAUGUCUUUGGAACUUGUUUACACUCUCGUUUGUAUGAUCAAUUAAUAAUAAUCUUACAUGGUGAUCAGGUUUACACAGAGAAGCAGAACAGAACAAGGAAUUAUAUAAUCAUUCGUUUACCCAAUCUGAACUGCAGCUCAUGGCGCUUAACCCUCAAUUGCUACCCAAUGGGAUGCCGGUUCCCUUUGUUAAUGAAAUGUUCGUUCUAGUCAGAGAUGGUGUUGAGUUUGAAGUCAACAAGAUCCCUGGGUUCGUGUUCCCUUCUCUUUAUCUUUCUUGUUUUUAUUCACUGUGGGUUUGAUUCCAUAACUACUGUGAGUUUCCAAUUUAUAGUAUCGUUUUAGAUGUUUUGGAUCGGUUUUGAGCUAAAAAAGAGCCAAUAAGUUUACUUGUAAAUUAGAUAAGUCUCAGAGCUGUGGGUGUUAAACACUUCCCUAAUGUUCUUAUAUUUUGUUUGAUCCAGAGGGCAUGGAGGUCAGGUUAAGUCCAAGGGAGUGAUUUACUUGUCCAAUAUACGGAUGGUCAUUGUUGCAAGCAAGCCUGUUGAGAACUUUGUUGCUUUUGACAUGCCCCUGGUACAGUAACUUUAUCUGAUGCUUCUCUCUUAUUCAGUUUAUACUAGCUACAAGUAUAUGUUACUAUAUACUACAUGUUAGCUUAUGGACUAUAUGUUACUCUGUAGCUUUUCAUCCAUGCUGAGAAAUUCAAUCAGCCAAUAUUUCACUGCAACAACAUUGCUGGACACGUGGAGCCUGUAAGUAGAAACUUUCAUGUGGAAUUACAAUUUGAAUCCUUGCCAUGAAAUUAGUGUAUACUUAGUGGCAUGUAAUAAUAUUUUCAGGUGGUGCCAGAAAACGAGCAUAGAGCUCUAUACUCAACACACAAUUUCAAGAUCCUGUUCAAGGAAGGUGGUUGUGGGACGUUUGUUCCUCUCUUUCUGAAUCUCAUAUCAUCAGUGAGACAAUACAAUCGACAAAUGCAACAAGCAGCAGAAGCAGCGGCGGCAGCUCCACGAGUUGAUCCUCUUCAAGCCGCUCAGACCCCUGUGGAUGAAAUGAUGAGACAUGCGUAAGUCCCCUCUAAAUCAAAGCUUCUGUUUUGAUAGAGUACUAAAAAGCUGUUGUUUCUGAAAGUCGCACGUGUGGUCAUUGUGUGUAUUUGCAGGUACGUGGACCCUAAUGAUCCAACGAGGAUAUAUUUGCAGCAGCCAUCAGGGGAAUCUCAGUUGAGGCGGAGAGCUUACCAUCCGGGUGCAGCGGAACAUUGACAUUGUCAUACACGAAAAACACACAAAGGCUAUGGAUACAUAAAUACCUAAGGGACUAGUGUUGCAAAUAAGCAAAGGUGUAGUUGGUUUUAUGUUAACCUUGGAAACUAAACGACUUGUGUAAUGAGAAAGACGAGACUUGUUGGGCGUGUGAGUUGUAUCUGUGUGACAGUUGGAUUCAUAUAAUAAUUUGAAAGUUUGGUAUACAUGUCGCACAAAUGAACAAUUACAACACGUCAACCUUAGAAGUAAUCGCAAACAAACGAAGAUGACAGAAGCUUGGGAAGUAUAGUGUUACUUACUAUUGUUGACAAAAAAAAAAAAACCGGUUUGAUUCGGUUUGAUACAAGAAUCUUGUGAAUGGACGACAAAAUUGUAACCUCAGCUCAGGCACCAUAGCAUUUGAUUUUGUGUUCAGCCCGAGUUUUAAGAUUGGGCGCCUUUGAAAUUAAACAACCCAAAGUUACGCCUUUGAAAUUAAACAACCCAAAGUUACUUUUGGAGUGAGGAUCUUAUAUGUUGAACCUUUUUGACUCAUAAACCCCAGUUUCGAGGGCUCUGAGUACGCUACGCACGUCUCCAAUUUAGGUCAGUAGAAUCUGCUUCUUCUCCCUGGUUAGUGUGUCAUUUAAUCUCCGUUUUGUUUGCUCUUGAUCGAAACAUCUUAGAUUUGUGCCUUUGAUGUAUUUUCUGGUAUUUGGAUUCUUGUGCUGAGCUCAAUUGAAGUUCCGAUAUCCUUGAUAGAAAUGUUGAAGCUCUGAUUCGUUUACUCCAAUAGAUUAUCCAGCGGUUUAGCCCUUUUUCACAUUUGCAGCUUUUUAUGCGGUUGUGUUCAUAGUUUGUUCUUAAGAUUUUGAAUCAUCCAGCUGUGUUGUGUCUCUUACCUUCCUAUGUAGCAACCAGGCUUCUCACUGAUUUGUAAUAAAGUUGAAUAAUGGUGUCUUAGCCCGAUAGGGAUCAACCCUUCAGCUUCUUCUUUUAUGUUCUUAAUUCCAAACUCUUUUGAGGGUGUUUUGCAGCAACGAGGAUUCAUAUUGAUUGAUGGACACCCAUAAAGAAUCUCGGGAUCGUGGCCUUUACGGUUUAGUCAAUAAAAUUGGUUAUGCAUUUGGAAUGGGAGCUAUUGGAGGUUCUGUAUAUCAUUUCAUAAAAGGGGCAUACAAUUCCCCAAUAGGUGGUCGUUUGGUCGGAGGUGCACAAGCAGCGAACAUGAAUGCUCCUCGUUUGGGAGGCAGAUUUGCUGCAUACGGAGGCUUGUUCUCAGCAUUUGACUGCACACUGGUGUACAUCAGGAAGAAGGAAGAUCCAUGGAACUCAAUCAUGGCAGGUGCUGCUACAGGAGGGUUUCUUUCUCUGCGGCACGGGAUUGUUGCAGCUUCUACAUCAGCGGUUAUGGGAGGGGUUUUGUUUGGUUUGUUCACAGGGUCUGCGUUAAUGAACAAGUAAAGCUUUUUUGGGUUGUGAUUGUUGACUGAUGACUAAUGAGAGCCUCUCUCUCUCUCUCUCUCUGGGUUGUGUUUGAUGCGUUUUCUAAAAUUUUCGCGUUUAGAUCUUCAUGGUCCUUACUAAAAUGUACUCCAAAGUAACUAUUUCAUCAGUAUUAAUAGAUUUUGUAGCACGACUAUGUUGGAUAUCUUCCGAUCAUUUUUGUGUAAACAUUAUCAAGGAUAUACUUUUGGAUCUUCAAGUGUUUUUACUACAUUCAAUAAGUUCAUUUUUAAAAUUAACGUAAAGCAGAUGAGAUCUCUGGCCAAACCAUUUGGGAAGAAGAGUAAGACAGAAAGAAGAAGGAAUGAGUCGUCACCAAUGUGUAAUGAAGAGGUCAUUGAGCUUAAAAGUCAAAAGUCAACUUUUCACUGAUUUUGAACAUUCUGAUUAAUCCUUGAGAAAGUACAAAGACUGCACACACCAGAUUAAGAACCAAAUCCAUUUCUUGUCAAUAUACACCAAAAUAAAAACAACUCAAAGUGUACUGAGGCAGAUAUAAUAAGCACAGCCUCAAGUAGAUCGAUCAUUUGGUUUCUCACUUAUUUACAUACAACCCUUAAGAGGAUCUUCACCCAUAACCAACACGACCAUCCACUCAAAACCAAAACAAAACCAAGACCCCAUGGAACCCAACCAGGAUCUUUAGAUUACAGGUUUUGUCCCUAAUUAUAUCCCUCAAAUAAACUUGUUUUCUUUUUCUUUUUUUCUUUUGCUUAAAAAUCAGCGUUCCUUCUCUUUUGUACCCUAAUUCUAUUCACCUGAAGUAAUAGAAUUACAAGAAGAGAAACAAACAAAACAAAAAAAAACAAACUGAAAUCCCCACUCCAAACUGGGGCAGGACUGUUUUUAGUUGUUCUGAGGAAAAUUACCUGACAAGACUUUGUCACGACUGCCAAAAAAGCUCAAAAUCCUUACUAUACAAUGAGCGGUCUUGUAUCUCCAAGUUUGCUACAUGUCGAUUUAUGAGUUGCGACUGCAUUAUCUUACACGCGACCAAUCCUGCUGGGAAUAUCCACCAUUCACUUUCACCCCUGCAUCCCCAAAACCGCUCAAACAUCGCAAACCCAAUAGACCAAAACAUAAGAAUACAUAGAGAGAGACUCUUUUUAAGUAUUACUUUGCAUAGUAGUAAAACUCACAUGUUUAUAUUCCAUGGCUGAAAUGGAGUUUUCUUGCUGGCUGAUGAUUCACUAUUAUAAUGAACAUAUCCGCAGAGGAAAGCUACAAACUGUCACAAAAUCAAAAUUUGUCAGAUAACGUGAGAUAUGUCAUGUCCGCAUAUCUAAAGAAUCGACCCAUAAUGUCCACAGAUAUAACAAAUAUAUUCAUCCUCAUGUGAAAUGAACCACAAAUUUCAUAUUGCAUUUCUCCACAAAAUAGGUUGUCAACAAUGCAAACUUACCACAUUGACUAAGGACAUGAAGUUCCACAAAGCGUAUACACGUGCUAAGCCAGCAGAACGCCUGGGUCCAUGGCUGAAUAAGGCAUUGAUCCCAGCAGGGAAUGGUAGAAGCAAGCCGAGCGGUAAUAUAAACAAAGCCAACAGUACAUCCAGCAAAGAAAUCGAAUAUAGCUGGAGCAGUGUGAGCAAGACUAAACUAAAAUCUCCUAAAAGUAACAUUGAGAUAACUAAGCCAACCAUAUCCUGCAAUAUCACAAAGAUAACAGAGGAAAGAGACAUUAAUAACUCUAGAAAAGAAAAGUUGGAUGUCACAGCAUUUAAAUACAUUCAUACCAUAAGGAUUUUGAUUGGGAAGUACCUGGUGACCCACUGGUUUAGUGUUGUGAACUAAGAAAGAGAGAAGGAAAAACAUAUCUCUCUUCUCUUUCAGACUCGGUAAGCUGUCAAGGUCGAUUAUCCCUCCAUAGUUCUUUCUGCGUGUUGUAUAAUCAUCACUGUUUAUAUGGGUUUGGUUGAAGAGCAUACUCUCUCUUAAAUGUGCUUGAGAGUUUUCUUUAUGUGCAUGCACACCAUACCUAGGAGUUACAAAAAACAGGACAUCAAAAUUCCGCAUAACUAGAUACGAAGUGCACAGCGAAAACAUGCUAAAAUGUGACACCACAAAAGAAAUCUUAAAACUCUAAAGUGAUCAACAGAUAGAAUAGUGGUCAUCUUGUUUAUCUAGAUUUCUCAGUUCAUAUUUUAUAUUAGGCUUAAAACAAUACAACACACUUAAAAGAAAGAACAGUAUCGUGAAGAUUGCUUUUCACCAUGAAUGGAUUGGAUGUAAUUUCACAUUCAUUUACCGUGGUUGGAUAUCAGUCCAUGCUGUUUCACUGACACACUGAGGUGAUGUUGGUUCACAAUCCUCAAGAGUAUGAAUCAGGAGACCAUAUUGGCAGUAACCGCAAGCUGUAGUCUGAAACCAGGCCAGAUCAACCCGUAUGCAAUGUGUCUCUAGAGCAGGAUUAGCAUGAGUUUCUAACCAUCUCAAAACAGAAUGAAAAGUUGAUCUCAGACGCCCACGGCGAACAAGGCGUAAUUGAGCAUUUACACCAGCCACCAGUCUGUACCAAGUAGUGGGCGGGACGAGCUGGAAAUGUAAACAAUGACAAAGAAUCAAUGCAACCUUUAACAUAACUGCUAAAACUGCUUACGUAACCUAAAGCACUAACCUGACUCAUCAGACUGGUAAGAAUGUUGUCAUUUUGAAGUGAGAAAGGAGCCAUGUAACUGCCAUCACCACCAAACAAUAUGGGCAUAGGAAACCUUUGAUGAAGCCGAGGUGGAAGGUCCAUCCUUUUUUCAUCCCCACCAAGAAAGAAAUCCAGAUACGCAAGCAUCAAAUCGGAGGUUGCAGCGACCUAUAUUCAAAAAUAUAUAUAAUACUAAAUCUUAUAACAACAAAACCUUGAAGGGAAUGAGAUUUUCUCAAAAUCUGUUGUGUUGAGGAACUAUGGGAUCAAAUAAAUCAUCAAUAAAUUACCUUCAGACCCUCGUAUAAAGCUCGGGAGCGACAGGAGCGUAAACAGGAAUGGUCAUAUUCUGAACGUACAAACUCACGUAAUUUUUGCAACUUCAGCUUCCGCCGCCAUUGCUGCCAUGACCAUGCGAGUGGAUAUGCAACUACUGAAAGAAUACUAUAUAUUGCACCUUCCCACCAUUGAUAUGCAGCUAUAGAGUUGAUUUCGUCGACAAAUGUGUUAAACGCAGCCUCAUAUCUAAAGAACCCAAAACCAAUAUAAGAAUAUUUCAGAGCCAAGGCCACUUAUUAAGUAUCUAUUGACAAAACAAUAUGAACAAUUCUCAAUCUGCUUGAAGAUAAAAUAAGAAACAACUAACACUAUCUCUUUUAUCUCCUCCGGGGGAAUGUGCGAGAGAUGCCACGGCUCACUGAAUGUAUUAGGACCCAUAAAAUACAUUCUAUGCACAUGACUCUGAGAUUGCUCAGCUCUAUUUGUUUCCAACACCUGGCAAAGAAUAACAUUAUAAACAGCAGCACAACACUAUAAUAUAAGGAGUGUCUGGCAGGUUAUUUCACUCAAUCAUGUCUGCUGGACAAACAAUACUUGCAUCUGGGGUGAAACAUCAGCGAAUACUAAAAUCAUUAUUUAGAUCGAAUGUUUACAGACAAAUAAAAUCAUCUAACCUCAUUUAGUGAUUCCAGGAAAGGGAAGGAAUGAUCUAUUUGUGAGCCAUGCUGAGUGGGAGCAGGGCCAGGUAGAUCAUCAACUCCAACAAAUUUCAUCCGUGCAACACUAAGUACAAGUGCUAAGAGGAUGAGGAGACCCAUCAGAAGGAGACCAAACAACCAAGGCCCACCAAAUGUGUAAAUUAACUCCUCGAGCGCGGUGUAACAGUGUGGCAUGUGAUACCUUUCCGAUAUGCAUCGAUAUGGACAUGGUGUCUCAGAAACACCACCUGUGUAGCAAAUUCCAAGGUUUAUAGUUGAGACAUGAGCCUUUCCAGCACCAGUUUACAGGCACUAAAAACCAUAUCAUGAUUUAAAUUUUCAACCACAGUUAAAAUCUACAUACUUGGUAGUUGAAUAACUUAAUCAGAAUCGUGGCAAAAUGAAUAGAAACGAUUUAUUUAGUUGAACGGAAAACAAAACUUGUCACUGAAAGUUAGGAAAAAAGUUAUAGUGCAUAUGUAAUAGACAAUAGCUAAAGAUAUAAGUGGAUGCUAUUUAUACCUCGAACUGGGACAUAGACAGCACGAGUUGGAAGCUCAUCAACAGGACAACGACGACAAAGUGAAGGGUCCGAUCCAGUAACAUUUUUGAAUGUACCAGAUGGGCAUUCCUGAAGAAAAUAAUAGAAUUGUGAAUACAAUGAGCUUCGAAAACUACAGUAGAAAUUCAACUGUGAUAAGGAAACUAAAGGCAAAUAGAAAAAUGUCACCCCUGUGAUCUGACAGAGCAGGAAAGUGUUAAACCGUUUUUUUCCUAACCUUACAAAAUAUACCAUGGAGUCCUUUCGGACAAUCUGUCCCAGUUAUUGUGCCAUUUUUGCCCAAAAACUCAUCAUCCACUGCCGCUCCCCCUCUACGAUUACAAUACAAAAAUUGUAAAUGUGAUAGGCUGGAAAACGAUAUCCAAAAAUAAAUGGAUAUGGGAAAUGCAGUAAAUGACGGGAAACACACAUUAAUUAUCAUGGGAAAUGCAGAGGUAUAUAGAGGACAUACCGUGCAUGAAUUAUUCCUUUUACACUAGCAAUUGGCUGGUAUAUGUCUCCAGUGGGAAUGUUUGACCAAUGAAAAUGAAUCCUCCCACCUCCGCCGCCACCACUACCAGCAGGACUGCCAGACCCACCACCACUUGAGAGAAGAGACGACUCUCCUAACAUAAGAUAACGCAGGAACAAAAGGACUGUUCCACCAGAACCACCUCCAGGUGCUUGAAUAGACCCGUUUUCAUCUCUACUCAAACGUUUGACACUUUCUCCAUCAACCCUAAUAGAGCCUUCAAGUGAUAAACCAGAUAGAGGUUGCUCCAUCGAACCAAUCACUGACCAGAUUCAAAGGAAAAGAGAGAACAGUUUAAACGGUUUUAUCUUGAAAGCAAUAAGCUCUCAGAGCAACCACAUGUAAGCACGGUAGUGUAUGGACUAAAUAAUGUCAAGAUUCUACAACGUUUAACGGGCUACGAACCAUACACUUGUAAUAAAAUUACAAUGUAUAAUUUGCAAAUAUUUGACACAUGAAAUAUGAAUAUAGUCAUUAGAAGCUUGACUACAUCAGACAUUUGCAUCAAGUCAUACGAUGACACAACCUAUCCUCUCAAGUUUAAUGGAGCAGAAUCAAUCAAAUUUUCUGACGUUUCAUACCUACAAUACCACCACCAGCAGAUGAAUAACCAGGGCUAUAAUCACCACUUCCACUGCCAAGCUCACAAGGGAGAUUUGCAUUUCCAUAUGUAAUUCCACCUUCAACACAGCUGUUAUUGUAACAUACACGCCCCCCCUUACCACCAUGCCCACCACCACUGCCAAUGCCAUUUCCGAGCAAUUUACCUUCACCUACACCACCUCUACAACCUGUGAAACACAUUUAAACAUAUGUAUGUUUUUACGAAACAUAUUAAAAGAACGUAGGAUCAUAUCUUCUUUCUCCCUAUACGGAGGUAGCACCUUAAAUCGUAUAUUGAGGGAGUAGGCCCAGGACAUGCCCAUAAGAAAUGUAAAAGUCCAAAAGUAUAUAGUUAUUGUUACCCAUUCCACUGGCACUAAUCUCCCCAGAGGUUUCAAGGGUUACAGUUUUUGCUCGGUGGAAAUGAACUACUGAUCCUUUAAUGAAACCUUCGACAAGAAUAUCCUCAACUCGGCAUAUCUAGAAAGAAAGAAAGUUACCAGACUUAUCAUGCAAGAUCUUAAAAUACUAGUUAAAGAAAGGUAGAAAUACCUGUAGGGUAAAGGACAAAGAUGAAUUGACAUUGCAAUCCUCUGGAGGAUUCAGUAGUUCAUAAGGGCAAUCUUGCCGUUCACAAUAGAGCUUUGGGGUACUGCAAAGGAUGGGAGUUCAAAUAUUGUUAGCUGUUUAUAUAUCCGAUGAAUAAUGCAAUCAAACUACGUAUAGAUGGCAUUUUCCUUCAAACUCACACAGCAUCUCGGGACGCAUUCUGCAGAGGAGCACGCAAAAUGGACCCAGGCCCGACCUUCAAAUGCCAGGGAAAAAAAAAUCAGUAACUCCUACAUGGCUAAAUCAAAUACCUUUCUAUAUCUGCUAUAUUAAAGCCAAUAGGGACUUUAAAGGAGACUGAUUGUCAAAUUAUGCCUGUAUCGUCACAUUUUCAGAGCUAACAGACACUAUCUUUGAUUCUGCACAAAAUACAGGAUGUAACCCAAUGCAGGAUUGUUACCAAACUAACACACUGACUUACAUAAAUCCGGUAAAACAGUGACAAAACAAGCCGUUGUGCUUCAAUCGAAUCCCCUGGUCCGGUUAGAUUCAAGAAACCUUGUCCAUGGACUCCAAGAUUUGCAUUUGAGCGGAUGACAGAUGAUCCCUAUAUUUAGAUAGAGAGGUCAUACAAACAAAUUAGAUGCCUCGGUAUGUCACAAAUUACUUGAAGAAGAAAAACAAUGACAUGAAUUAGUGAGUACCCUAAGAACGAAUAAAUUGCUAGCCUCAAGUAUGGAAGUCGCAACACUUGGAUCUCCCCCUCCUCCAUCUAUAUGCAAUUCUGAAUUCCACAUCAAGAACAUCUUGACAGUCAUUCUUAAUGCCCCAUAGACCUGGUACAUACCAAUAAACAUAAACAUAAUGAACAAGUGAUUCACAUGAAUACCAAAAUAGAUUAUGGAGUAUGACAAAAGGCCAGGUAAACCAAGAAUGAAGCAGAUAUUAGAAACACAAAGAAAUAUUUAUAUCUGGCAUAGACGGAUACAGUGCUGUGUCGCUAUUGCCGAAAAAAGUGGAGAAUCAGGAUAAGAAUUACCUUGAUAGUAGAAUCACUCAUUAAGAGUUCUUCCGCCAAUAACUCAAAUACUGAUGUACCAUAAUGAGCUAAGCCAAAGCUCAAAACACCACCACACAAUAAACUAAUUUGUCCUUGAACCUACAUAAUGAGUUCUGUUUGAGUACUACGUCUUCAAUUAUGCAAAAUAAUAUGCUGAAACACAGGAGAUUCCACUAUAUACUUUUAAGAAACGUAUAUAGAGUAGAAAAAAGGAUACUAGAGUGGCAGAAAGAAAAUAAACAAAGCCUCACAGAUUGUGGUAAUAUAAACAUAGCAAGGUGAUAAAUCAGUUUGUCUACAAAGAGUACUGAAAAUUAUUUUCGACAUACCUGGACACGACUCCAUAACAGAGGACAAGUUGCUCGCGCUUUAUCCUGAAUAUAAACAUUGGUCCAAAGUGGCUGGAAAGGAAAUUCUAAGAGAAGCGUAUAAGUGUCUGUCGUCAUGUUGUAGUUGCUCACGAAUAGGCUUCGGGGAACAGCAUCAUAUAGCGUCCCAGCAGCACCUGCGUUAUCUGGACAACCGAUACUAUAUCCGCCUGUGUAUAGGAAGAAUAAGAUCAGUUCACAUGAUUGUAGAUGUUAGGCAAGUACGUAUUGGAUAUAGUGGCUCAAAACAAAAACAAAAAUUAGAUAAAAUGUGCAGAUGUAAAGAAGCUAACCAUGCACAAAGAUCUUUGGGUCAUCAUGCCUGCUAAAGAUAUCGACAGAUACUCUUCCACCACCCCCACCACCAUAACCACUCCCACCACAUGCACUGAUCAGUCCAAUUCCAGUCCUGCACUUCACAGAACAGCAAAGCAGAGGAUGCUAGCUGAGAUCAAUUUAUCAAGAAUCUAAGAAGACAAAAGCCUCACUACCACCCAUUAAAAUUAGCAAAGACAAUGAAUUGUUCACGUGUACCAUACAACAGCAAACAACACAUCUUGAAGAAUUAGGAGCAAGAUCUAAAAUCUUUCAAAAGUAAUGUCAUAAACAAGAUCAUCACUUAAUCGCAUAUUUCCAAUUGAAAACAGAAACUCAUAUGCACAGUACUAGAAAUUUUUACUGUGAAAGGAAACUGCAAUUGUGUUUCAUAUCUCAAAACUCGACUUGCCCUACGCUAGGAUUAUGAUCUUGAGAAACAAUCAGGACCAAACAAGUAUUGCAAAGUUUGCCUUCUCAGCUGCCUAGAAAGAUCUAAUAUAUAUGCCUUUAAUCAAAUCGAAUAGCUAGUGAAAGAGAGCAUAGAAACGAAAGUUCAUUACAUCUUGUAUGCCUUGAUGUAGAUGCUGCCCCCAGCCCCACCACCGCCUUUUGCUCCUCCAUAACCUCCAUUUGCCAAAAUGCUUCCGUUAACAUCCAGAAGCUGCAGAAUAUCCAUCUUCACUUUCCCACCUCCUCCUCCUCCAUAAUCAAUCUCUCUGCUCGUUGACCCUCCUUUACUACCAUAGCUCCACGGCCUCUGCAGAGUGGACCACGAGUAUGCAUCACCUCCCCACACAUCUUCAGGGAGCUUCUUAGUGUCAGUCAAACAGCAAGCGCCUCUACCACCAUGUCCACCACCAGCACCAUCAAUCCCCUGCGGCGUCCCACUAGUCUGUGGCGGAGGGUUCCCAGCUAAUCCCGUGGUGUUCACAGCCGACCCGUUAGCAAAACUAGCAUUACCAGCUGAAAGCUCCAAUGUUCCAGCGACAAUUGUAGAUUCCGCACCCAAAGAAAAGUUUCCAGAAACAUUGAUAGCUAUAGAGCAACCAGGGAAUGGACAGUGAAACUUGACACCAGGCAGGAUGAUAAAAUUACCCUUCCCAGCUAUAUACACAUCGUGCGUAAGGUUCAAAUCGGCGACAAUCUUACAAGUGGUAUCCAAAAACCCAACGCCGCCGAGAUCCUCGUUACAAGAUACCGACGGUCCGUGCGGUGGUGGCGGUGGUGGAGCAGGCGGAGAGUAAUCCUGAUGGAAAAGCAACGACUCUGAAUCGGAGUCCAAAUUCGAAUCAGAACCCGAAUUCGGUUCCACAAUGGUAAAUCGAUAGCUUGAACUAGGGUUUACGGCCAAAACCGCAACAAGGACCAAGGAGAAGACGAAUUGGAAAUGAAAUCGAGCCAUCCACUAGUAUCAAUAGUCAUCACAGACGAAGUCAAGUAAGGUUUUCGAUUCGACCCCAAUUCGGGUCAUUGAGCAAUAGAGGUUGAAGAACUGAUGAAAUCAAAACAAAAACCCAAAUUCACAAAACCAACCCUCUCUUCUGUUCUAUCUCCACCACACGACACUUAUGACUUAUGCAUAAAUCAACAUAGGCAUGAAUGCGUUUUCAGUCGUCUUGUUGAAGAAGAAGAAGAUAUGAAGAAGAAAAAGCGCAUAAACAUUCAGCGUAAAAUGGGACUCUUUAGAGAGAGAAGUGGUGCUUUUCCUUUCUCGGAGGAGAGAGAAAGAGAGGGAAGGGGGAGCUUCCAAGAAGAAAGAAACACAGGUUGGAACGGAGAGUUGUUAGGAUCAGGUACGUGCGACUUCACUGUAAUCAGCUAGAUUUUAGCUAAUCGUCUUUCGCCACGUCAUUUAUUUAGAUUGCUCCAAAAGGCAACGCUGCUGUGCAUCGUGGUUCACAUGGACUGGAUGUGUCAGCGGUAUCUGAAUUUAUUUUCUUACCGAAUCAAAUUGCGACACAUGUCGUGUUACGUUUAAUUACUGGAUUUGCUGUUGGAUUAAGUAGUUAAUUAAUGACGUCUUGGCUUUUAAAAUUUAAAAGUUUAAACCGUCAGGAAUUACGUUCGGACAGUUAAAGGUGCCCGUUUAGAAUUGGGCUUUGAUGGGCCAUGUUUCUUCCCAUGGGGUACAUAAACACGCGCCAAGCUUUGAGCGUGCGAGUGUUUGAUUUUGGAGAAACAACAAGAGAAUGCUAAGUAAAAAACAAAUUUAAACAAAUCUGGCUGGCCCAAUAGAAAACUAGCAGCAUUAUCAUCACCAAUUUAAAAAAAAAAAAUCAUCGAAACCAAUCUUUUAAUCAGUUCGAUUUUUACGUUAUGGAAUCUGGAUCACAACCCCCUCAUUGUUUGAAAUGGAGAAUGGUAUGUAUAUAUGCUUCAGGGUAUUGGUGUGUAUGCUAACAGCUUAUAGCUUCAAAAACAUCUGAAAUGUUUCUUGAUGAGGAUGUAUUACAUGGGACAUGGCUUGGGAGUUGGGAAGACUAUGUUUAGAGUAAGAGAUUGUGCAUGGUCAACAUAGACCAAUCUAAACUAGUGGGAUACGUAUAUAAUUUGAUAUUACGUGAAGUAAUUGAUUGGUAAGUUUGGUAAAAACAAAUGCAAUUUGACUUACGUAUGACUCAUCAUGCUGACUUCUUCAAUAAGACAAUAAGUACACUUAAUUUAGAGAAAUAUGUCAGCUAUGAUCUUAUCUGACCAGUAUCCAACCGGGUUAUUUUUGCCUAGUCGUUGUCUUAGUAUAUUUGGAUACAAAUUUGACUUAUCCCGUUCUCCGUAACCAAAAUCUAUCUUAUGUUAAUGCUCUUUGUAUUAAUGGAAUGGAAUGGAAUGAGAGAACUUAUGGACACGAUGAAACGCUUCAAAGGAUACAAACGCAAAACAAGUGAAAAUGAUUUUGGUUAAUCGUCUUAUCAUAUCACAUUGUCCUAACAAAUCACAGAAAGAACCAAAUCACAUUGUCCUAAGUUUCUAACUAAUCACCUUAUACAUUGAAUGGUUCGUGGACAAUGUGGUUCUUAAUUCUUUUAAAUGACCCCAAAAAAAAAAACAAGGAUGAUGAUCCAAAGGGGUAAUAGAAAACCACCCAAUACGGCCAUGAGUUUCGGAUGAUGCGGAUCAGCUACGGUCAGCUCGAGAGUUACCCAAUAAAUUCACAGUUAAUUUUUUUUUACGGCUUAAAAAACACAAUUACGCGAAAAUUCGGUUUCUAGGUGCCACUUUUUGUUGUUGUUGUUGUGAUUACUUUUCCUUAAGGGAAAAAAAAAAAAAAACUCAUAAAACAAAACAAAGACGAGCUCAUCUUUCCCUGAUCAGAUCUAAACUUCUCCUCGCACCCAAAUUUUGCCAGCUUUCGUUUCUCUGUUCUUAACAUUUUCGCGAAUUCAAAAAUGGAUUUCAUGAAGGUCUUCGAUCAAACGGUUCGAGAGAUGUGGGUUUGCCGUUUCGUCUUGUCUAUUCUCCUUCUUCGAUUUCGAUCCAAAUCCGUAGAUCUUUUUUGGUUUUAUCGUUUUUUUUUUUGCCGACUGAUCUCGUUGAGUUUUCAAUUUCAGAAAGAGGGAGGUGAAUCUGAAAGUUUUGAAGGUCCCUGAGAUGGAGCAGAAGGUGAAUUCAUUUGAUUCGUAUCUAUUAUAUGUGCAAAAUGAUUGAGAACUUUCUCUAGUGUUAGCUAGAAUCAUGAUGUCUCUGCGAAGUAAAGAGUUACUAGUCCUCAACAGCUGAGCUCGAUUUAUUACGUUUCUGUUUCCGGAUGCUGUAUCCGAGAUUAGAUCCACCUUUGGGACUAAGAAAUCUCGAGUUCCUAUUCAAUGAAUAUACAAUUUAAGCUUGAGCGUUGAUGUUUAUAUUAGAUAAGUUUUGUAAGGUUUAAGUUGGUGGCUAUGCGUAUUGUAGUUUUGUAAGGUUUAAGUUAUGUGUUGAUGUUUAUAUCCUCGUUUCCUGGAUUCUCAGUUUCAUCAUGUCUUCAAUUUCACUUUGUUCAUUUCGACUCCUGUGUCUAUGUUUAGUACAGGUAUUGGAUGCUACGGAUAAUGAGCCUUGGGGUCCCCAUGGUACUGCAUUGGCAGAGAUAGCACAGGCCACGAAGAAAUUGUAAUCUCUGCCUUCAUUUUCUUUCAUGAGUCCUUUUUUUUUUUGGGUAUGAUUUUACACGGUAAGAGUUUUGAUUUUAAAAUGCUUAACAUGUGCGUUUGGAAUAUGAUUAGCUCGGAGUGCCAGAUGGUUAUGAGUGUUUUGUGGACUAGACUUACUGAGACAGGAAAAGAUUGGCGAUAUGUCUACAAGGUGAAAAAUCUUCUUGACGUUUUUGCAGUAUUUGGAAGUUUACUGUAUAUAUUUUUAGUGUAACCUGAGUUUUUUUUGUCUACCAGGCAUUAGCUGUCAUCGAUUAUCUGAUUUCAAAUGGAUCGGAACGAGCUGUUGAUGAGAUUAUUGAGCAUACUUACCAAAUAUCUGUCAGUUUAUCUUUCUUACACACUGAUUUUGGUUCUCUCAGGGUGGAUAUUGUAAUUUUUCUAUUGACAUGGUGUUUGUUUUGUGAUUUGCCAUCCAUGUAGUCUCUCACGAGUUUUGAGUAUGUUGAACCAAAUGGAAAAGAUGUGGGCAUCAAUGUGAGAAAGAAGGCAGAAAACAUAGUCGCUCUCUUGAAUAAUAAAGAGAAAAUCUCAGAAAUCAGAGACAAAGCAAUAGCAAAUCGUAACAAGUUAGUGUUUAUACAACUGCAUAUUCGGUUUGCCUUUUCUUCUUUAAACGUUGCAUUUAUCGGGUUAUGUUGCCUCCAAUCAGGUACGUUGGACUCUCAUCCACGGGGAUAACAUAUAAAUCUGGUUCAGCUUCAGCAUCAUUUGGUGGUAGUUUUCAAAGUGGUUCAAGCAAUUAUGACAGCUACAAGGAUAGGGAUUCCAGAGAAGACAAAAAUGACUACGAGUCUUUUCAAAAGUCAAGGCGCGGUGUUAAAAGUGACGAGCAAGGCUUUACUUCAAAGAAGAGUUUUUCACGCUAUGGCAGGUUUUAUGUCAACCCCUUUCAUUUCUGAUGUUACGUUCGUUACAGAUUUUGAAUAUAUUUCAAUUUGUGAGUUUUAUUUCCCAGAUGAGGCUGCUUGUUUCCUUUUAUCUUCUUGUUUCUGUUUUCGUUUACGACUCAUUUUGUGUUUUUUUUUUUCUGAUGUAGAGUAACUUACUUUUUCAUUAUUGCUCAAUUUAGUUCAAUUUUGAAUGUGCAGCACGGACCAUGAUAAUCUAUCCACUGGAAAAAAGUCACCCGACUCUGCCAAGUAUAGUUCACAUGUGUCUGCAGCACCUUCAAACAACGAUGAUGAUUUUGAUGAUUUUGAUCCACGUGGAACUUCCAGCAAUAGUAUGUUUUUUUCUAGACUGCUGAGCUUUCAGAUUGUUUAUCAUUUAUUGGACAUUUAAUUAGUUUGAUAACUUAUAGGGAACAACAUGUAUAUAUGAUAGAUGAAAGUCAUGUCUUAUCUGUAUCGGUUUCGUUUUGGCAGAGCCAGCCGCAGGCAGUGCUAACCAAGUGGACCUUUUUGGAGGAGAUCUGAUUGGUGACCUCUUGGAUUCUGGGCCAACAGAAACAUCCACCACCAACAACAACGAGAAAUUUCAAGAUGCGGACUUGUUUGCUGAUGCAACUUUUGUAUCAGCCUCGGCUCAGGGAACAGGAUUUGGUUCACAGUCACCGGUGGGCAACUUCUUCCAUCUAAGCUAGUAUAAGGCUUUAAACAAAUGAAAAUUUCCUUAUUAACGUUCUAUCUGAUUCAAUUCUGCACUGCUUGACAAACAUGCUCAGUUUUCGUUGUUGAAGUUAUAACGCGUCAUUAUGAAUUGUGCUAUUGAAUCAUAGACUGAUAUGUCUCCCCAUGUCUGUUUCUACAGAAAGAAGUUGAUCUUUUCUCUGCGUCUGAACCUUCUGUCACAGUUUCUUCAGCUCCUCCGACAGUUGAUCUUUUUGCAUCUCCCGAAUCCAUUGCACGCCCAGAAGCCAAUAUAUCUAAACCUGAGUCUAUGACCACUCCCAACAUUGUUGACCCAUUUGCUGCAGUUCCAAUGGAUAAUUUUGAUGGAUCUGAUCCUUUUGGUGCCUUCACUUCCCACUCGGCUUCAGCCUCUACAGGUCCACAGGCUCCAAAUGUACAAGGGAGUGCAGCAAACACUACAAGCCCGAUGUCUUUGGCAGACUCGAAGCCACAACACUUGCAAAAGAAAGAUCCUUUCCAAGUGAAAUCUGGAAUUUGGGCAAAUUCUCUGAGCCGUGGACUGAUUGAUCUCAAUCUAACUGCUCGUAAGUCAAAACUUCCCCCUUCAUCCAGAACUCUAUCAUGUGCCAUGCACUAGUAUGUGGUAGUGAACUAUUAAGAAAAUUGUAUUUUUCUCAUUAGAUGCAGAUAAAACUGAACAGGUAUAGUUGGUCAAUUACAUUCCAACGAAUUGUCAAAUAGUUGAUUAAACCACUCAAACUUCUUCGGUCAUAUAGAAUUUCAAUACCAUGUACCUUGACUUUGCAUUGUGUCAAGACAAAUAAAUGGUCGGGUUUAACUUUCUAAGUGCGAUCUCAGUCCUGACUAUUUGGUUUUCCUUGUAAUCAGCCAAAAAAGCUUCUCUAGCUGAUGUGGGCGUGGUGGGUGGUCUGAGCAAUGAUGAAGGUAACAAAGCAUCUGCUGCUUCGUACUACUCAGGCUGGUCCAUGGGUGCAGGAUCAGGGCUCGGUAAAACUGGUCUAUACAGUACACAGCAGCAGCAGCAACAACAAGCACAUGAUAUCUCAGAUGAUUUCUUCUCCAGCCUCAGUAACCAAAACUACCAAUCUGGAGGCUUUAAGUAGUGAAUUUGUCCGGGAUAUUCGUAUUGAGACGGAAAAGGCAUAUCAGGUUUGAGUCUACAUUCAAUACUGGAAAUCUAAGUAAUAUUUUUUUUUAAUUGGCUUGUUGUUCUUGCACUUCAUUCAUGAGACGAUCUGGUCGGUGGCUGAUGUGCCAUUGUUGUUGUGGCAUUUACUUUGGGUUUAAAUGAGAGAUAAGAAGAGAUAAGAAUUGUCUAUGGUUUUUGAUAAGAGAGUAUUAUUAUUGGGUUUAAGUUUUGUUUUGUUCAUACAAAAUAAAUGUAUCUGAGUAUCUCGUCCGACUCUUCAAAGAUUUUUGCUAUCGUGUGUGAUUCUUAAUCCAAAGAGACUCCAACGUUCUUCUUAAUUAUGUUUUCUGAUUUUAUUCAGAAACUGCGUACACAUUGACGUAAGUUCAUAUCUUAAUGAUUAUGUUUAAGACUAAUCUUAUUACACUAUUUAGUUAACUUGUCACGAAUGACUUAAAAUAUAGGUUAAUCUUAUUUACAAAGAAAAUGAUUAAAUUGGAACAGAAAGAAAGAAAAAAAACUAGUCCAACACAAAAAUAAAAAAUGUCAUCUCUUCACUGGUUUACCAAUAUCGUCUUCGUCGUUGUCGUCUUCUGCUCCACGAGUUUAGCUUCACCCUUACAUGGAAGCUCACAGGUUGUACUAGAAGAAGAAACCACAGUAGUAGGAUACGGCUACGUCGUUAGAUCAGUGGCUGUUGAUUCCAAUGAGAAGCUUUUGACGGCGAAUCUUGACCUGAUCAAACCGUCGUCCGUUUACGCACCGGAUGUGAAAUCGCUUAGUCUUCAUGCCAGGUCCUUAUAAUCUUCUCCGUUCUUCUCUCACUCUUAGCAAUAUAUCUAAUUUGGCAAGUUUUUUAAAGUUAUUUUAAAUGUGCGAUAAUUAAGGAAAGUUUUAUGAUUGUUUGGUAUAUAUUAUAUGUGCAGCUUGGAGACGAGUGAGCGUUUGAGAAUCAGAAUCACAGAUUUUAGUCAACAAAGAUGGGAGAUACCGGAAAAUGUUAUUCCUCGCGCCGGAAACCACUCUCCUCGCCGUUUCGUAACGGAGGAAGUAGACGGAGGAAACUCGCCGGACAGCAAUUUCUUAACAGAUCCAUCAUCGGACUUAGUUUUCACACUCCACAACACCACGCCUUUCGGUUUCUCCGUCACCCGACGCUCCUCCGGCGAUAUCCUCUUCGACACUUCGCCGGAUCAAUCAGAUCCGAGCACUUACUUCAUCUUCAAAGACCAAUUCCUUCAACUAUCUUCCGCGUUACCGGAAAACAGAUCGAAUCUGUAUGGUCUCGGGGAGCAAACCAAGCGAUCGUUCAGGCUAAUCCCGGGUGAUACUAUGACUAUGUGGAACGCCGACAUCGGUAGCGAGAAUCCGGAUGUUAACCUUUACGGAUCGCACCCGUUUUACAUGGAUGUAAGAGGAUCAAACGGUCAUGACGAAGCAGGGACGACUCACGGCGUUUUGUUGCUGAACAGCAAUGGAAUGGAUGUGAAGUAUGAAGGACAUCGGAUUACUUACAGUGUGAUCGGAGGAGUCAUUGAUCUCUAUGUGUUCGCUGGACCAUCACCUGAAAUGGUGAUGAAUCAGUACACAGAGCUUAUUGGAAGACCUGCUCCUAUGCCUUACUGGUCAUUUGGUAAGAGACAUUGUGCUGUUGCAUUUUGUUUGCUUAAAAGUUAGUCCAUAGCAUUAUCAGAUAAUAUACUUGUUUGUGUGGAUUGAGAUGUGCGUUUUGCUUUGAUUUUGUGAAGGAUUUCACCAAUGUAGGUAUGGCUACAAGAAUGUUUCAGACCUCGAAUCUGUAGUUGAUGGAUAUGCAAAAGCUAGAAUACCUCUUGAGGUUAUGUGGACAGACAUUGAUUACAUGGACGGCUACAAAGACUUCACUUUGGACCCCGUAAAUUUCCCAGAGGACAAGAUGAAAUCAUUUGUGGAUACACUUCAUAAGAGUGGUCAGAAAUACGUGCUGAUCUUGGAUCCCGGUAACAACCAUAUACUAUCUCUUGUCUGUAGAGUCUUUAACAAAUUGAUUUUACAAGAUGAAAAUAUUGGGUUUACGUGUAGGUAUUGGUGUGAACAGAUCUUACGGGACUUAUAAUAGAGGGAUGGAAGCAGAUGUUUUCAUAAAGCGAGAUGGUGAGCCUUAUCUCGGUGAGGUUUGGCCCGGAAAAGUAUACUUCCCUGACUUCUUGAAUCCAGCUGCUGCAACUUUCUGGAGCAAUGAAAUCAAGAUUUUCCAGGACAUUCUCCCUUUGGAUGGUCUGUGGAUUGACAUGAAUGAGUUAUCAAAUUUCAUAACUUCACCUCUAACCCCUGGAUCUUCACUCGAUGAUCCUCCUUACAAGAUUAACAAUUUUGGGGACAACGCGCCAAUAAACAACAAGACAGUUCCCGCAACAGCUAUCCAUUUUGGAAACGUUAGUGAAUACAAUGCGCAUAACUUGUAUGGCCUGUUGGAAGCUAAAGCCACUCACCAGGCUAUAGUGGAUGUAAUGGGAAAGAGACCAUUUGUUUUGUCGAGAUCCACGUUUGUAAGCUCCGGAAAGUACACGGCUCACUGGACUGGUGAUAAUGCUGCAAAAUGGGAGGAUUUGGCUUACUCAAUCCCUGGAAUUCUCAACUUUGGUCUGUUUGGGAUUCCUAUGGUUGGAGCUGAUAUAUGUGGUUUCUCACAUGAUACCACCGAGGAACUAUGUCGUCGAUGGAUCCAGGUAGAGUGAUUAUUUCUCAGACACAACCUGUAGACUUUUUCCUGAGUUCGUAAUCUAACGUUUGCUCUUAGAUUAUCAGCUUGGAGCUUUUUACCCUUUUGCAAGAGACCAUUCGUCCCUUAAUACCGCCAGACAAGAAUUAUACCUCUGGGAGUCUGUUGCUUCUUCUGCAAGAAAGGUUCUCGGCCUCCGUAUGAGACUGCUCCCACAUCUCUAUACACUGAUGUAUGAGGCUCACGUUAGCGGCAUCCCGAUCGUGAGACCACUCUUCUUCUCGUUCCCUCAAGACACUAACACUUACGAAAUUGAUUCACAGUUCUUGAUCGGUAAAAGCAUAAUGGUUUCUCCGGCGCUGGAGCAAGGAAAGCUGACGGUAGAUGCAUAUUUCCCUGCCGGAAACUGGUUUGAUCUUUUUAACUAUUCAUUUGCCGUCGGUGGAGCUUCUGGCAAGCACGUUAGGCUUGACACUCCCGCAGAUCACGUGAACGUUCAUGUUCGAGAAGGUAAUUAAAUAGUAUGUUCUUUGAUAGCUACUUCUGAAAUGAAACUGGAGUUGAGCUUGAACAGAUUUUGGUUUAACUUGUAAAUAGGUAGUAUUGUGGCUAUGCAAGGAGAGGCAAUGACAACUAGAGACGCCAGAAAGACACCGUAUGAGCUUCUAGUUGUAGCCAGCCGGCUUGAGAACAUAUCCGGCGAACUGUUUCUGGAUGACGGGGAAAAGAUACAGAUGGGAGAGGGAGGAGGAAACCGUGAUUGGACUCUCGUGAAGUUCCGGUGCUACGUAACAGGGAAAUCGGUGGUACUGAGAUCAGAAGUGGUGAACCCAGAGUACGCUUCGAGAAUGAAAUGGAGCAUAGGGAAAGUGACAUUUGUUGGGUUCGAGAACGUAGAGAGCGUGAAAACGUACGAGGUGAGGACAGGUGAGAGAUUGAGAAGUCCGAGAAUCUCGCUAAUCAAAACGGUUAUGGACGAUGAUGAUCCGAGGUUUCUCAGUGUGGAGGUUUCAAAGCUGUCGUUGCUUGUUGGGAAGAAGUUCGAGAUGAGAUUGAAAUUGACUUGAACAAGUACUAAACCCAAAUAUUGAUGAUAUAAACUCUGGAUGCUUAAUGAAUAAAGGGUGUAAAGAAGAGUGAUAUAUAAAGAUUUAAGAAUAAUGUCAUGCGAUCCAAUUACUUUGUAUUAUUGUACAGAAGGAUACAUACCAGGUUCAAAAUUCGUGUAUCAUAAAUAUUGUAUUUUUCCCUUCUCCUUUUCACUUCGUUAGUAUUUUCUGUUCAUUAUAAAUCAACCAAAUUGCAGUCUUCAAAAUUUUUGAACCAUCUGCACAUGUUGCCAUGUGGGGUUUGCCGGAAAAAAAAAAAAAAAAAAAAAGAGAGGAGCAUAUUUUUUUAUUUUUUAUUUUUUAUUUUUUUUUGUCAAAAGAGAGGAGCAUAUUUGUGCCACUUUGACCACUUUUUUCCUUUUGCUAAUAUACCGCCAUGUUUGUGCCCACAAUUUUUCUGAAUUCUCACUAAUUGUCAUUGACCUCGUUAACUCAAAUUUCAAAAUAAUUAAUUAACAUAAUAAACUUACAAAUUACAAUUCGAAAUUAUCCUUAUUGGUUGAUAAAUAUCCUUAAACGCGUUUAAAAUUAAUUACCAAACCAGAAGAAGAAAAAAAAUGAAUGUUAUGGUCCCAUUCUAAUAUACACACACACACACAAAAAAGAGUCGACGGUACAACAGCGGUCUUGUCUAGUACGCAAAAACAGUUUCGGCGUCUUCCUCACAUUACUUUUCUCAAUCAAUACCGUCUUCUCCUCUCCAUCCAUUAUCUCUCUCUCUCUCCCUCACGGAUUCGUAACUUCUUCUCAGUGCUUCUCCGUCAUCUUCGCAUUAUUGAUUCUUACUUUUUCCCUGUAAGCUCGACACGUGGAUUGUUCCCCUGCUUUUUCUUUUGUUUUUUUUUGCCUCUUUUCGUGAAGAUUCGUUUCCUGUAUCUGUGCAGACUUGCAAUGGAGUAAGUUUCCUAAAUUAGCUCGGCUCUAGAUCCUAGUUUCUUUAAUUAGCUUGUCCGGUGAAGGAAUUAGUGACUGGAUCAACUAGAUACUAUCGAUUCCGUAUGCUGCGGCUUUCGAUUUCGUGGAUUUGUAUUUGGAAAUUUUGCCGAUUUUUCUGAUUCUGUCCUGCUGGUAAAGGUCUCGUGAUUAGCGGAGGAGAUCUGGAGUUCUUAGUUUUAGGAUCUUACGAGCGAGCAAUUGUUGACUUUUGAUUUUGCCACAGUUUUAUUCACGUGUGUAGGCUUAGUUGAUUCAGAUUCAAGUUAGAAGCAGAAUCAGAAUCUGCAAAUACCUGUUGUUUUAGAAACUAUAGAGAUGCAGACUAGGGUUGUACAGUUGGAAGAAGGGAAAGAAACUGGAAUCACGGUUAGAACAGGGCAGUACAAGGCAUUUCCUUCGAAGCUGCUUCUUCUGCUAGGCUUUUUUCUUGCUUUUGCUAUUACUGUCUUCAUCAUUAGUGUAUCUACUAUCAAGUAUACUGGAAUACAAAGUGUAGUGACCACAGUGACUUCGAGCUUUGUGCCAUGCCGUGAGGAUGAACCCAGUGGUUUUAGUCAAUGGAUACUACCUCCUGCUGUUCUGAUGCAUAAUAUGAGCGACGAAGAGCUCCUUUGGCGCGCUUCUUUUUGGCCUCGGAGAAAAGAAUAUCCCUUUAAAAGGGUUCCAAAGAUUGCGUUUAUGUUCUUGACUAAAGGCCCCUUGCCGCUUGCUUUGCUUUGGGAGAGGUUUUUCAAGGGUCACAAUGGGCUUUACUCGGUUUACCUUCAUCCACACCCAUCUUUUACAGCCAAGUUUCCAGCUAACUCUGUUUUCCACCGGAGGCAGAUACCCAGCCAGGUCUGGUUCUUUUAUUUCUCUUCUGUUUACAUGGAUACCAGUUUCAUAUGGUAUGAGAAACUGGAGCUCCUGGACCAAACUUGGUUUCUAUAGAAGCCUCUUUGGCAUUGCGUAUUUACUCCAUACAGCCUUUUUGGAUGCCAUGUAGUCAUCGCUCUUGAAGUAUUAUUGUUGAUUAAGUGAUUAGUUGGAUUACCAAUCACAUAAACUAUCAGAAAAUAUAACUCUAGAAUCAAAUUGGUGGUUUCUUUAGUAGCCUUUUGUUCAAGCAGUUCUUCAGAUUGCUUUGAAUCUAAUUGGUUAUGUAUCUGAUUUUAUUGUUGUAUCAUUGUGCAGGUUGCAGAAUGGGGGAGAAUGUCCAUGUGUGAUGCAGAGAAGCGGCUUCUCGCCAAUGCGCUGCUUGAUAUCUCCAACGAAUGGUUUAUUCUAGUCUCAGAGUCAUGCAUUCCACUCUACAACUUCACAACCAUCUACAGCUACUUAAGCCGAUCAAAACACAGCUUCAUGGGUGCUUUUGAUGACCCUGGACCGUAUGGGCGCGGCCGCUAUAACUCGAACAUGGAACCAGAAGUCCCCAUUACCAAAUGGCGAAAAGGGUCUCAAUGGUUUGAGAUUAACAGGGACCUAGCAGCUACCAUUGUCAAAGACACAUUGUAUUACCCGAAAUUCAAAGAGUUUUGCAGACCCGCUUGCUAUGUGGACGAGCAUUACUUCCCGACAAUGCUGACAAUUGAGAAACCAGAGGUCUUGGCUAACCGGAGCUUGACAUGGGUGGACUGGUCGAGGGGAGGGCCCCACCCUGCCACGUUUGGGCGAUCUGACGUUACAGAGAAUUUCUUUGUAAAGAUCUUUGAUGGAAGAAACUGCACUUACAAUGGGCGCAACACUUCCAUGUGCUAUCUUUUUGCGAGGAAGUUUGCUCCGAGUGCUCUGGAGCCUUUGCUUAGCAUUUCUCCGAAGAUUCUUGGAUUUUGAGUAGUUUAGUAAUGUCUCUGAACCUCUUAGACAUCAAAUAGAGAACACGGAAUGGGUGAGAUAAUGGAUUCUAUGGGAGAUUAUACGCCGAUAUUAUUUUAUUUUGUUUGUUGUGAUGUAAGUUGGGAAGAAAUGAGGUAUUAGUAGAGAGAACUCUAGGUUGCUCAACCACAACAGGAGCCAAGUCAUAUGUAACUUUAUAUUUUUAAAGAAUUACUACUAUGCUAUGCAUAGAUCAUUUUUUCUUCCGGAUAGUCUUGGAACAUUAGUUGUCCGAUGCACGAAAUAGGACAGGUUUAUUAUAUAUACGCAAGUGUCAUUGAAUCAGAUUUGUUUGUCUAAUGUUUUUUCUAAUGUUAUCGUCUCUAACUCAUUUUGAAUCAGGUUAGAAAAACGAACAAACCUUUCUUAACAUGGAUAUGUAUAUAGAGUAAUCUUAGUCUUGGUAAAUUGCUUACCGACCUACAAACUAAAAAGAAAGAAAGAAAGAAAGAAAAAUUGCUUACCGACCAAGAUAUUGCUUAGAAUGUGAAACCAGUAGACUAGAUAACUAAAUGACAAUGGGAACAAACCAGAGCCAGGUGGAGAACACACUUUUACACCUAAUCGAAGGUUCUCGAAACCCUCAAGAGCCUGCCAACGUCUACCAUCUGUCUUUUUUUCUCUUUCUCUUUAAACAAUUGCAAAGUUUAAUAAAGUAUGUGAAAAGGUUUCAUUUAUGGAAAAAGAAGGUCUCAAAAUUCAAUUCUAUAUCAUCUUAUUGGAAUAUAUUCUCUGAGAUAAAAAGAAAUUCCACACACAUUCCACCAAUUUUUUAUUGUAUAUAAAAACUUAUAAUGAAAAUAUUUUCAACUUUUUUUUUUAGUUCUGAACAAAAAUAAUUUCAAAUAUUUUCUUCAAACUGACUUUUUCUAAGAAAUGUGAUGUCCACCCAUUCAACUAAGUUGGCUCACAUUAUUCUCAAAAUUAUAUAAAAAACAAAUCUAUAUGGUCUAGAUGCUAUUAAUAACUAUUGAAAAACAAGACAAUUUUGACAAAUUCUCAUAAUACUAUUAGAAAACAUUAUAAUAUAGUUAUUAAUUAUAUAUUUGUCUACUCUUUUCAAUAUCGCAUUAAUCUUCCAUGAUAAGGAAAAAGAAAGAUUAGCACAUUGUUCUUCGUUUGUUUACCAAACAAAAAAAAACACACAGUUCACCAAUACCAGUUUAAAGUACAUUAAUCAAACAUUGCUUCGAGAAACCAAAGAAAAAACAAUUUUUAUUACCUCUUCUGUCGACGUUAUUUGUUUUUUAAAGAAGCUCUUUUCUAUAAAGGAAAAACAUUAGCCGUUACACGAACCCCAUGUGCUCACCAAAUAAAAUGGUCCCUUCUUUACUCCCAACCAAAUACAAAUACAAAUACAAAUACAAGUCUGCGCAUCUUGGCCGUUUCCUUCACGGAACCGCGUUUUUCCGUCACUGUUAAAAAAAAAUUGACAGCUCAUCAAACAUUCUCCACGCGCCGUGACUAACAAACAAAAACCUCUACCAAGACCGUUGCGUCUUUUUUAGUCCAGAAAGUUAGAUGCACGCGCCAAGUGUGAGCGUUCGAGACAAAAAUAUCCUCGCGAACGGCGCCGUAACGGAAGAAAGAUGACCUGUCGAAAUCUCAGUGAUUGCGUGGGAGCAAUAUCAACCGUCGAUUAUUCAUACUCCAGCUGGAAAAAUCAGGGCAGCUAAACCAACUAAACCGGGCAGCUCCACCUCUUUAUAAACUCGUCACCACAUUUCAUUUUAGAAAACCAAAUAUUCAAAGAACCCUAGCCUCCUCUCUCUUCUUCAUUCACAUACACACACAUCUCUCUCUUUCUCACUCUCAACUUUAAAACUCUUUUGAAAUGGCGUUCUCCAAGGCUUCAAUCGUUGCUCUCGUGUUGGUCAUCAUCUCCGUCGUGGCUACGGCUCAGUCUGAAGCCCCAGCACCAAGUCCUACUUCCGGAUCUAGCGCGAUCUCAGCUUCGUUCGUCUCAGCUGGAGUAGCAGCAGUGGCGGCUCUUGUCUUCGGCUCUGCUCUUCGGAUCUAAGCUUUACUGUGAUGGUGGUUUCGUACAGAGAUUGUUUUUGCAGUUUAUGAUUAUUAUUAAUAUAUCUUGGGGAGUAUAGGCCAUUCAUCAUUAUUCGUCUCUCGUGUGUAUUCCGAAGCCUAUAGAUCUCAUUUCUUACUUGGCUCUCUUUUCUAUCUUCUUCUUCUAUAUUAUAAUCUUCAUAUAUGUAUUGAGGAUGAUAUUAUCUCUGGGUAUUGUGGUGGUUUUAGAGUUGUGGGAUUAUGGCCCUUUUUGAUAUGAUAUAUUGAAUCUAUUCUAUUUAUUUAUAUAUUUAUGGAUUUCCCUUCUUAAAUCUCUCUCUCUCUCUCUCUCUCUUCUCGUGUUUCACAGAUUAAUAUGAGAAUAUGCUUACACAGAGUAGUUGAGAAUUUUAUAAAUCGGAAUAUAUUCCAACGCGUUACAAAUCGAAUCAUUCCAAAACCCAAGUAAAAUGCUGUAACUCAAAAGCUAACUUUUAUGAUCUAAUUGAGAAUCAAAAAUUGUAUUCUGGUGGAAAUGGAACUGAUUCUAAACAAAGCUCG